UGCAUGAUUGGUUUUGUUUGAGUAUCUGAUUAUCAUUGUUGUAUGUAAUUUCUUGGAAAUGAUCAAGGCAAAUUUUGUUCCAUAUAUACAGCCACUUAGCCAUAUAGCCUACCAUUUACAUGUUAAUUCCAUUGUUAGCCCUUUUGAGCCUGGAAAAGAAUAUUGUUCUGAUUUGUUCUUGUUUAUAACCUUGAGCCUUAAAAGAAAAACAAUGAUCUCUCCUAAGCUGAAUGGUUUAAGAGAGCACUUGUUCAUGAUAUGGUUGUAUUCAAGUUGGGGAGAGAAGGAUAAUAGUGUUAUUUUUGUGUGGUUUGUGUAUCAAUCUGUUUGUACAUACUUGAAAGUGAAAACAAAAAGAUGAAAAAGGAGAAAAAGAGAAUUAAAAAAAAAGAUAGAUUGAUGAAAAGGGUGAAAAGAAAAGAAAAGAGUGGUGAAUGAGAGAGUUGGUAAAAGCACUAGAGUAAUUUAUCAUUUAUGGUUAGUUUGAACUAUGAUUGCUCUCUUAGCUUGUUGAGUACCUUGCAUAUCCAGAAAAACCAAUUUUCUUUGAAGCCUAACCACAUUACAACCCUCAAAGACCUUAGAGAUCCUUGAUUGAACAUGCAGCCUUGAUAACUGCGGAGACGGAUAACAAAAUUGAUUUAUGUGAUUCAGUGAGUGAACUGAGUGAAACACUCGCCUUACUUUGAACAUAAUGAAAUGCUGAGUGAAUGAAUAUCCCUGGUUGGAAAGGAAUGAAUUGUAUGUUUAUUGAUUUUCAUAGUGGAUGUGCAUUUGUAUCAUUGUUGUGUUUUUCUUUUGUAGGCAUCACAUUUCUAAUUUUGGAUCCUUCAAUUUAAAAUCUUAAGAAAUCUUGCAAUUUGAGCUUUUGAGGAUUCAAAGACCAUGCCUGUUGAAUGAAAGUCAUGACCUUUUGUUUGAGGACAAACAAAGUGUUAAGUUGGGGGGAGUUGAUAAGUGCAAUUUUUACGUGUUUUUCAUUAUCAUUAUAGACACUUAUUUGACUAGUAUGCUUGCAUUGUUGAUCAUUUUAUCCCCAAAGUAGCUUGCUUAGAAAAUAUUUAGUUUUAGCAUAAAAAUAAUGUAAAUAUUAUGCUUUUAAUAUUUAAUGUCUUAAUUUUGAUGUAGGAGUAAGAUGAUCACUUGAAGAAGGCUUGAAUCUUGAGCAAGAAAAUAAAGUGAGGAAAGUUGGCUCAAAUUUAGCUUGAGCGGACUGGAAACAGAGCUGAAAAAUAAGCAAAGGAAAGAGUUCGCUCAAAAGUUGGCUCAAGCCACCACUUUACAGUAGAUUUUCAGCAUAGUUCGCUUGAGCCAACUUGAGUUAGCUUGAGCGGACUGAAGGCGGCCUUAACUACUUUAGCAUGAAGAAAGGUUCGCUCGAGCCAACUUAGCUUGGCUUGAGCCAACUAAGGUCGGCCAGAAACUCUAUAAAAGGCCAGACCACGAAAUUUUCAGUAUCUCUUCCAUCUCUCUUCCAUUUUUUCCUCCCUAAACAUUCAUAGGAGGCUGGGCUUCAUGGGGGAAGGGUCCCUGGGUCUAGGAUUGAAAGAUUGAAGCUCCGGAGCGUGGCGGCGACCGCCGAAGGACCGUGACAACCUCUCGAGGGCGAUGGAAAGCUUGGGAAAGCUUCUAUCGCCGUGGAUCCUUCGCCGUUCUUCUGGGUUUCAUCUUUUCUUCCUUAUCCCUUGGACUUGUUGUUUCUAUUUUUGUAUUUAGGAUGUUAUAACUUGAUGCUUUGAUUGUUGUAAACUCUUUUCAUAAAUGUAAAUGAUAAUCUUUCAUGUAUGGUGUUUCUUUCUAUGCUUCAUGCCUCUAACCAAUCAAUUGAUAAUCAAAAGAGUUCACUAAUUUAUAAAUAGAUCGAAAGGUUGAUAUGAAUUAGUGUAUGCUUAGUUCAAUGAAGGUAGAACACCUAUGUCUUAGGUCACAAUUUGUGUGUUAAAGUUUUGCUUUAUGUGCUUCAAGUAUCAGUGAUUUGCGUUAGAUUUCCGAGGACUAGCAUGAGAUCGGGAGAUAAAUGCAGGUCCGGUUCAAGAGAGAAACCACUCACUAAACCAAUUGUCUUAAGGUGAGAAUAUCUUAGGUAAGAGCAAUAGUGGAUUUCCACGUGACAGGUGGGAUUCUGAGUUCUAACAGGAGUUUCCGGGUGAGAACGGAGAUUCGCAAGCCUAAGAUACCUUGUAUUAGGAUAGAUUGGUCAUUGGGAAUGUCUUUGAGAGAGAACUUGAGUUAUAUUAUUCCUUUUGGGUUUUCUAGAUGGUAAGGGAUUACGUCUAGAAUUCCACUGAUAGAUUCACCUAGGCUAGGGAUAGUUAGGUGGAUAGCUCUCGGCAUCAUAAGUGAAAUGAACCAUUACAUAAGUGUUUGAGUUGAAAACAAUCAAAGGACUAGGUGACGACAUAUCUAAAUACAUUUUCUUCUUUGUUACCUCAGUAAACCUUCUUUUACUGUUUUCUCCUAUAUUCAAAAUCACAAAAACAAUUUAUCAAACAUCUUUGUAUCCGCUCAGAUCAAUGUUUAACUGGUAGAACUAAUGUUCACACAAUCCCUGAGGAUUAUAAACCCGUAUCUGCUUUGCUAUUAUUGAAUCAUAAGGGUUUAGUUCCAAAGCAGUACUAACAAGGAAAAAACCUUUAUCAAAUUUGGCGCUGUUGCCGGGGAUUGUGUUUUGAAAUGUUGGUGAACUAGUAGAAUGUUGAUUCGAGUUGUAAAUAGUGUACAUAGUUGUUCUUGUGUAUCAAUAUCCCUGGUUUAUUAUUGUUCUUAAUGCUUGUUGUAGCCUGAUCAACUAUAACAUGAUUUGUGGUUUGGAAUUCUGUGAACCUGUCUUGGAAUGAAUCAGCUAGUGAAUUUAAUGUAAUUUAGGUUCAUUGGUCAUGAAUUGAUGCAUAGCAUAAUGUAUAUAGGUGCUGUCUUGAGCAUAGUUGUUAGCGUGUUCUUUCUCUUGCUCUCUUGCUUAUGGUUUUAAAUUCCCUAAGGAUUCCUCACUUUUGGUUCUUGAAUGAUCUUUUGCAAGUUUUCAUGGUCAAAAUCAUCUUUUGAAUUUGUGAAUCAAGAUAGAACCAUGAAGUUUUGGAAACCAUGAGUUUUGGCGUGGUUAUUAUCUAUGCCUUUUGUGGGGUUUCUGGUUUAAUUCGUGACAAUAGUGGAUUUUGUGAAGUUAUGCCAAAACCUGAGUUUUAAUGAGCUUACAAAUUUAUUAGCAUAUUAAGACUGUCAAUGAGUUUGGAGCCACACAUGUGAAAAAUCAAUUUUUGGGGGUGCCUUGUUGAAUUUCAUUGGGAUGGACGGGAAUGGAAAUCCUUUUAAUCUCCCAAUGAAUUGGAAUUGCCCGGUCCAAAAGUUUUUUAUUUUGGGGGAGGCAACCGGGGAAAAUUGCAAAUUGGUCGGGGGGAAAAAAAAAAAUUUUAAAAANNNNNNNNNNNNNNNNNNNNNNNNNNNNNNNNNNNNNNNNNNNNNNNNNNNNNNNNNNNNNNNNNNNNNNNNNNNNNNNNNNNNNNNNNNNNNNNNNNNNGUUUUCAAAGCUAAUAAUUAGGAUUUUGUUGGAACGGCUAAAAUGUAAGUGGAAAGUCUGGCAUUUGUCUAUCAUUAAAUUCCAUCAACACACUCAUUCUACAGAGAAUUAAGCACCAAUUAAGAACCCAUGGGAUGGGGUGAUAUCUACAUGUAGUAACUAUUACAGGCAUGACUGCUCAUACAGUUGAAUGCCUUGGUAACAUGAUCCAUGUGGGUAGGGUAAAAAACAUCUUGAUAAACAUGAACUUACAACACUCAGACAGACGGCUAUAUUCACAAAUAACCUAGAUUAAUUGCGAUCCUUUCAAUUAGUUGGAGGCAAUUUUUCUUUUAAAAUAUAACGUUUGAUUUAUUUCAAUUUGAACAUAUACUUUGGUAUGAUACAUAUCUCAUAUCUACAUCUCUGACAUUUCUUCCUUAAAUAUUUUAAAAUUAUUUUUAAUCAAGUUUCAUAUAUUAUCCUUAUAAUUUAAAAAAAUUCCAACAUUUUCGCAUAUCUCAUUUAUAUUAUUUAUUCCAUCCUACCACUACAAUAAAAAAAUGAGUGUCAUAUAUUAAGAUUAACUAUGACAUCAAUUAUUAUAAUUAUUAAUAUAGAAUGGAACUUGAAAAGUUUGUAUUCUAUAUACUAUAAAUUUAUUGAAUGCACUUCAAUUUUAUAACUUGUGCCCCUUUACAAUCCACUUGCAAGCUUCACCUAAAUUCCAUGUAAAUGACAUUGUUUCAGGUUCUAUUACUCAUAUAAAUUUUUCAAUUUAUGAUUAGAUUUAAAAUAUUAUUUAUAUUUAUAUGUGUUGGUCUGUUAUUUAUUUUUUUGCAAUAGUAACAUAGAACAAUUUAUUUAUUUAUUUUAUCUAUUUGAAACAAAAUAUGUGUUUUAACAUAUUUUCCUUAAAAUUGGAACAACAUAGAGUUCACUCUAUUUAACUCAUGAGCUGUUAAUCAAUCUAAUUUAGUGGUGCAAUGCACAGGGUCGUUGGGCUCUCGACAAAAUAGAUCGGGAAAGCAAAUAAACAUUGUCCACUAACAAUCACCGAAUGUAGAUAAAAAGUAUUAACCACUAAAUUAUUGCCUUAGAUCAAAUAAAAAUAUUAAACAAUUUAAAAAUCUUUGUUCGAAGAGAAAAAUGUAUAGCACCAGAUAGAACCCCCAAAACAUAUAUAAUCUAGUCCCUUAAUGUAUCAACCCAUGUCAUAAUAAAUUUUAAACUUCUUUAAGACAAAAUAUCCAAUUCUUUUAUGCAAAGAGGUUCAAAGACAAAACUAAACUUCAAUUUACAAAGAACACCCGAAACAAAUUCACAUAUGCUUCAUUACUUAAGGACAUGGAUAACUCAUUAGUUUCAAUCAACUUCUCUAUAUAUUCUUCAACCCAUUGUGUUUCAAGUUCAGUGUUAAAUUUCUAUUAUGUUAAUAAAUACAUAUUAAUAUGUACAACUUUUACUAUUAUAAUUACUAAUAAUAUAAAUAAAAAGAAACAAUAUACCAAUGAACUUGAAUAUUCUUCUAUCAGGUUUAAAUAAAAUUUAUAGAGACGAAUUCGUAAUCAGGUCAAGNNNNNNNNNNNNNNNNNNNNNNNNNNNNNNNNNNNNNNNNNNNNNNNNNNNNNNNNNNNNNNNNNNNNNNNNNNNNNNNNNNNNNNNNNNNNNNNNNNNNAGCUUCAUCGCAUAUAUGUGAAAGCUCAUGCUCUUCUAUUACGUCAACGUUCGGGUGAAACCCUGUUUCUGUCUCGAGUAGAGAAGGAGGAUUUUGGUUCACAAAACUUUGAUGUCAUUGUUCUUGCCGCCAGCACGAGACCAAAUCCUCACUGCCCUUUUAGUGAGAUCUCUUGAUGGGGUAUUUGUCAUGAUGUUUGGCGAUAAUGAAAGAAGGUUUGAGGUGGAUGGAGAUUCCGGUUGGGGUCUUAGAGGAAGUUGUUGGAAAAUGUCAAUGCUUUAAGCCGACGCUAUGUGGCUUCUGUGUUUGUCACCUCAAUCUAUUCCUCAUCUUCAUUCUCCUUCUUCUUCUUAGUCUUUCGUUUCACCUCUGGGGUUGGGAUUUGAGGCAUGCAAGAAGAUCUCCUCCGCCAUGGCGAGAUCUCUCAUCUGAUCUGCAACAAGGAAGAGGAGAAUAAGCUUCCACAGAUCCGCGAUAGAAAGAAAGGGCUAGAAUGACAUUCAUGGUGAAGACUGAGGGCUGCAUUGGUGGCGAAGAAGGUGAAGACAACGAAAGAGAAUGAAUCUGUGUGAGGAGGUUGUUGCGACAAAGGGGAGAAAAUACCUACUGGUGGUAGUGGGCUUGUGGCGGCUGAGAGUGAUAGAGAGAUUGAGAAAGUGUGGCGAUUAUGUUUGGAGAUGUUGAGAGUGGUUGAGAGAUUGAGGGUGUGUGACUGCUAGGAUUGGGGUUGGGUAUUUGAGGCGCAUGUGGGCUGGGCCUAGAGGAGUAUUAUUUUUUUAAAGACCUAGCUCAGUCGGGCUGGAGGCCAAUCCGAAACAGACCGAUUUAACCACAAGAGACAGGUUUUUGAACCGCACGUCGUUGAAUCAAGUCGACCCACCCAGUUGCACAAAAAAACUCGGCUUUUGCAAGUUCGGGCUAGGCCUGAUGUAUUUGGGCAUCCCAAACAAUUGGUAUAUAAAAACCUCUUAGUAUAUUUUGAUGAUAAUAAGGAUAGAGUUACUGUUCUUCCCAGCUUCUCAGCCACUAGUAUGAGUACAUCUCAGCCGACCAAAAGGCAUGCCUCGAAGCAUCCGUUAUAAGUCCGGGUUAAAUGACUCAAAAGAAGCAUCCUACCAUCAGAGACGUGCAUUUUCGGGGACUAGUCUGCUUCCCAUUACUCAAGCAAGAGGGAAAUUCCUAGCACAAGGAAAGCUCUGGAAAGAUAGGACUUUCCGACACAGUUUUUAGAAUUGUUAGUACAGGCCAGCGCCAUAUUCAAUGAUGGACAUCUUAGGUCAAUCGGCUUAAUUCCGAACAGCUGACACCCCCUGUUGCUCCAUUCUGGAUCCCUGAGUGAUAGAAAGGAUAUAAGCGGGACCACCAAACCUCACCUUGAUGAGUCUAUCGCUUGAUUGAAAGGAUCAGACACUGUCCCCCACUUUUCACAGUAGAACGAAAGAAUUAUAUUCUGAAACCAACAAAUCAAUGAAGGGCUCGAAGGACCACCCCCCUCACACUCACUCUGACCCUAUAAAUACAGGUUAUAUCAUUCAUUUACAUAGCAUGAUAUUCAUUAUUAAUAUUUACACUUAAGUUCUAACUGAGUCUCUGAGAUUGUCUCUCAACUCAAACACUGACUUGAUCUUUCACUAGCAAAUCUUCUCCACUCAUUUGAUUGGGAACUCCCACCUGGAAUUGACAAGGAANNNNNNNNNNNNNNNNNNNNNNNNNNNNNNNNNNNNNNNNNNNNNNNNNNNNNNNNNNNNNNNNNNNNNNNNNNNNNNNNNNNNNNNNNNNNNNNNNNNNGUCUCUUUUACUGCUUUCUUCUAUAUUCAAAAUCACAAAAACAAUUUAUCAAACAUCUUUGUAUCCGCUCAGAUCAAUGUUUAACUGGUAGAACUAAUGUUCACACAAUUCCUGAGGACGAUAAACCCGUAUCUGCUUUGCUAUUAUUGAAUCAUAGGGGUUUAGUUCCAAUGCAGUACUAACAAGGAAAAAACCUUUAUCAAAUUUGGGGAAAUGUCAUAUGGCACGAAACGAAAUUCGUUUGUGUCCUUUAUGUGAUAUAUAAAUAAAUCUGAUUUUUUUUUGAAAUGUAUAAAUAAAUCUGAUUGGAUGUAGCUUAAUUCGUUGAAUUCGUUGCCUAAUCUUUUCGGGCCAUAUAUCUCACUACUCUAUUAUUUGGCUUACCUAAAUAAAUAAAUAAAUCAAGCAAGGCUUUGACAUGGUGCAGAUUUGGCGAUAGUGUGGCGCUAACAUUGUGAUAUUGUAAUCGUUUUCAACCUUCGAAUUUGGGGACCAACGAAAUUUUUUAAGGAGACUCUUUCUCACUUUACCAUCCUUUCGAGCAUGUGUACAACCUCGUUUUUUCAAAAAAUAAAUGACCGCAAAUGAAGUUUUUGAACAGCUUGCCAAAUUUACUCAUGCAAGGAAAACACAAUGGCCAAUUUCUGGCUAAACUUAACCAAGAGCGCAAGAAGCUGGGGAAUCUUGCUAUAAUGCCAAAUGGAUCAAAAAUCUAAAGAAAAACAUGGGAAAGCACUCUCGUAGGUAUUUGCUUCAAGAUUUUAGAUGAUGAACACAUACACAUAAUACCCGCUAGGAGCAUAUAAUUAUUCAAAAAAAAACAAUAAGAUGGGUAGUGGAUACUACCAAUCCAUAUGCACCUUAUUAGUCAAACCAUGCGUAUGCGUGCUUGGAGGUGGUGUUCUACCUCAAUAAAAUGUUCAUGAUGGGAUUCUAUAUUAUUCGUUCUUGGCACAAGGCAAAAUAAAUUUCUGGGCAUACUAAUCAGGUUCUCUUGGUGCCCACAUUUUUCUUNNNNNNNNNNNNNNNNNNNNNNNNNNNNNNNNNNNNNNNNNNNNNNNNNNNNNNNNNNNNNNNNNNNNNNNNNNNNNNNNNNNNNNNNNNNNNNNNNNNNUCGAUAAAUGUUUUCUUGUUUAGUGCAGAAUGACUUCCCCAAGACUGUAGCACUCUUUUUCCUUGCUUGUCCCUCUGGGUUUUUCCAAGUAAGGUUUUAAUGAGGCUCUCUCUUGGGGCUUCGUUCUGUCAUUCUGGGGGUUGGUGGUGGGUUUUAAGCACAGCUCAGGUUGUUUUUGUCUGCUUAAACUUGUCAGGUUCAGUUUGUAUUUGGCUCUUGCCUAUAGCUGCUUUGGUUUAGGCUCUUAUUAAUAAUAUACUUUUAAUUUUCAAAAAAAAAAAUUCAUUAUGAAAAUGAUAACUUGUGUGGUUUUUUGAGCGUUUUGACUAUAAUAUUUAUAUAUUUAUUUUUCGGAGAAUUUUACUGAGAAAAAAAUCCCAUAAAGUAUCAAUGAUGUGGUAAGAUACUAUACAUGGCAAGAUUUUGUGGACCACACCUAGGGUGUGGGUGCACAACAUAUUCCUUGGGGAGGAAGGAAGAAUUACUUGAUUAAUUGGGAUAUUGUUUGAAAAUAAAAUGAUUUAAUUCAUUUUAAUCAAAUAAGAUGAUAGUCAAAAUAGGAUAGCUCAAGUGGUCGGAGUUGAGAGAUAUAUGAGUUGGGUAGGAGGAGGUUUAGGGUUCGAUUCCUGGCAGGUGCAAUUUUUUUUUCCGAUGUACAAAAAAAAUUCAAAUAAGGUGAUAAGGAGAAAUUUAAAAUUUAAGAUAGAGGUUUAGUUAGUGGAAAUUUUUACCUAAAGAUAUUUAAGAUCAAAUUAAGUAUCUAUUUUAUUUCAAGAGAUAAUUCCUAAUAUUUGAAUUUAUUUUACAAUAUUAAGGUUCUAGCUCAGUCCAUAAUCUUUUAACUUAAAGAUUACGAAAAUAACUAUUAGAGAUUAAGCAGAAGAUUUUCCGCUUGAUAAGAGGAGUGGCACACAUAACAUAGAGGGGGUUGGAAAAUUCUCUAGUGAUCAAAAAAUUAUUUGGAAAAUUUCUCACUCUCUCACACAUAUACUCAACGUCUCUCUCUCUUGCUCUUAAGAAGAAAAUUCCUUUAUUCUUAUUUUGCUUCAAACAACAAGGUAGGCUAGGGUUCUUAUCCCUUUGAGUUUCUUCUAUGCUCAUCUCCAUGUCUUUUCUACUUUUUCUUUUCUUUUUGGAAAGCUUGUUUAGAAAAUGUUUUCUUUUGGUGAAAAGAGUUUCUUUUGAUAAGGUUGCUCGUCUUUGGUUUUUUUUUAAGGUGUUGUUUGUUGUUUGGCUGGAAGCAUGUUGUGGUACUUUGUAGGUCUUUUUGGUUGGAGUCUUAUUUGGUGUUGCAUGGAUUUUUCGGGGCUUUUCCAUUCCUUAGGUUUUAUAUCUUUUGUGGUUGGGUUUUUAUUCAAUAUGUGUUGUAGAUUGUGACUGAUGGAGCUUUGCACUUUAAAAUCUUUUUCAAGAUUGUAUUUUUAUCUAUUAAUAUCAUUUUACUUUCUAAAAAAAAGUUGGGAAGUUUUGGGAGUUUUUACAUCUUGUUGAAGUUGUUUCAAUAUAUAGAGGCUGCAGCCUAUACACUCUUUUUUCGGGGUUGGUGUUGUGUUGAAUACUUGUAUAUGAUUAACAAAUCCUAGUUUUUGAAUAGGGGUUGAAAUUGGAAGUUUUGAAAGUAUAAGAACCUUUUUUAUAAAUAGCCUAAAUAGAUAAAAGGUCGAGGGUUAAUUUAAGUUUUUAGGGGACAAAGUCUAAAUAAUCAAAUAUUAGGGUUUUGUUUGCAAAUUUAUUUGUCUAGUGUGUUUUGACCCUUUCUCGAGGCCUUCCAUAUGGUUCUAGUCUUGUUCUUGGCUUAGUUGAUAACUUAAUUACUCACAUGUUGUGAAGGUUCAAUUAGUGGGGUUCUUGAGGUUCUAGGACAUGCUUUUGGGAAAGAAAGCGACAAAGGUGAGGGCACUUCCGUCUUAGAGUGUCUAUGUGAUUGUUGUGUGCAAUGUGUUUGAUUCGUGAUUAUGUUAUGUUAUAUGUUUGUCUAAUUGCAUGAUGAUAACAUGAUAUUGUUGUAUGUUGAGAUGAUUGUGAUCUAUGAUGUCGAUUUUAAUCUAUGCUAAAACAUGUGAUGUUAUGCUAUGAUAUUUUGAUGAUAUGCAUAACAUCACAUUCACAUGGGGAAGAGUUGAUAAAAUGAAUCAAAAAAUGAAGGAAGAUGAUUGUUGGUAUGUUUUGAAGCAAAUAAUAAUUACCAUUUAAAUUAGUAAAUUAGUGUUGGUAUUCACCCCUCUUUAAAAAAAGGAAUUGUUAUUCGGACCCCCCGACAGUUAUUUAGACCAUGUUAAAUUCGUAAAAUCCACAAAAGCCCUUUAUAAAGUUUUUUUCGCUCGCACUGUGAAAGUGCGACCAAAACGCAUGUGGAAAGUGCGUCCAGGUGCGUCCAUCACACACUUUCAACGUGCGUAUUGGUCGCACUUUUACAGUGCGACCAACUUCUUUGAAGGUACUAAGAUUUGUGUAAUUUAGACAAAUUCCUUCAUCUGGUAUUUUAUUUUGAAUUUCAAACAUUUUUUAUUACACCAUAAAUCUCCAUAUAUUCUAACUUGAUUUACCGGGAUCUCAUNNNNNNNNNNNNNNNNNNNNNNNNNNNNNNNNNNNNNNNNNNNNNNNNNNNNNNNNNNNNNNNNNNNNNNNNNNNNNNNNNNNNNNNNNNNNNNNNNNNNAGAUAAGCAUUGGAGAAGAUGCAGAUGAGAAAGGGGGCAAAUGGGGAAGAGGUGAAGAUCACAUAAGAUUGGUAAUCUGCAGCAGAGAUAGUCCGUACCUGUUAGCUACCAUGUUUCGUAUCUUCUGUGUAGUUACCGGAAAAACCGACCCAAACCCGACCCGUGACCCGGCUCUUGCGGGUUUUCUCUUAUGAACAGUGGCCAAUUCCCUCUAGCUUUAGUAAGUUAUAGAUUCUCUUGCAAAGAAAAUACAGAAUAUCCAGUUCAAAUGUGUUGUAGCCUAAUUUUGCAAUGCAAGGAAACUUUCUUGUAGUGAAAAAACACCAUUUUUACAGUGAAGAAAUAUAUAGAUGGUUUUUAAACUAAACCAACUAUACCCUUAACUUGAUAGACAAAGUAAAGAGAUUCAUACAAAUAUAUUGAGAUUAAGUUACUCACAGCAUUAAACUUUGUCAUCCAUUUUUCAUAGCUAGCCUUGCCAACCUAAUUGAUUUAACAGUUCUCUUUGAAAUCCAAGGCAAUAAAGCUCUUCAAUUGACAUAAUCCUGAAGGGAACCCACAACCUAUUAAUAUGAUAGCAGAUAGUAAACUCGUAAGUUAGUUCGCUAGCUAAUAUAUACCUUAUUGAGGAGUCAUGCAAGGGUGUGGGAUAUGAACCCUCCAUACUAUCAAUAUCUUUUCUGGCACAACAGCGUAAAUCAUAUCGCCAGAUGCAAGGUGACCCAUAAUUUCAGCAACCUAUUUCCCAAAACAGCACAUUCUAGAGUCCAGACGAACACUUAAGAAGGAAAUUCAGAGGUCAAAUUGAUAAAAUGACAAAAACAAAAAGAAAUCAUCAGAAUUAAUACUGGCAUACCCUUCUUGACAACCUUCAAUAGUAUUCUUCUGCAUAACAACAUCUUUCUCAAACUCCUGUUUGCCACCUGCUCCAGUCAAAAUACCAAUUACAUAUGCAUCGCUAAUAAAACACCAUUAGACAACUGUAUAUCAGGGACCAUACAAACUUGGUAUAAACCUCAAUUAAUAAUCAACUAUAACAAUAAAAAACGAAGCAAAAAUUAAGAAAUAAACGACCUAAAUCAUAAUAAAAAAUUUAAAAAGGUACUAUUAAAGAUAGAUAAAAACUAUCAAAAUCUAGCAAAGCACAAUAAAAACUCAUAAAAUCCUAAAUUAAAUAAAAAUCCGAAAAUUCAAUAAAAAUACGAUAAAAAUUAAUUAACACUCUUCAGGGAAUAUGUAACUAUAUGGUUUAAAACUUAUGAAAGGUGCUGGUAUACUGGCGGUAUGUUUUUCACGGGAAUUGAAAACCUUUUACCAUGUACAUUAUGAGAGGGAAGGUAACGUUUGGCACAAAGAAAACUUAUAUAAGAACAAAGAGGGAAAUAUUGAAUGGUAACAUAUUAACCAUGUAAUCAAUAUUUUAAUUGAAAACAUAAACGGGAUGCCAAUCAUAAAUAGAUAAAUAUUUUUAAUUUAAAUUCACUUUAAAUCUUUUGAAAUAUUAAUAAAAUAUACAACAAAAAGUUCAUAUGCAAACAAAUAAAUGUUCUCAAGAUUUAGCUUAAGCAAAUAAGGGACCAUAAAAUUCUAAAGAAAAUUCACCAUUCCAGAAAAAAAAAAUGCAACCUAGCAAUAGGAUUUGGCAAUUCCAAAUUAACACUAACCUAUAGGUAUUCAGUUGUAGAAGAAUCCCACCAAAACUAUGAAAAAAUCUAAAUUGCAAGGUGAAAUGAAUCACACUACUUUUCCACAUACCUGGAUUAAUUAAAAAAUAUAUAUUUUCUAUUGUUUUAUAUGCACAAUAUUUUUUUAUUGAUCUCAAGUUAAUUAUAUUCUCAUAAAAAAAUACCUUUUUAAAUUUUAGAUUUGAUUAGGAUUUAGAUUGUUUAUUUCUUGAUUUUAUCUUAAUUUAUUUUUAAUUUAUUUCUAGAGUAUUAAUUAAAUUUUAUGGUAUUUUUAGUGAAUUUUUCUGAUUUUUAUUUUAUAUGCACAAUAUUUUUUUUAUUGAUCUCACCUUGCGUAUGUUAGUCACUAAGACUAUGUUUGUAUAAAUGUUCACAUACAUUCAAAUGCACCUAUAUCUCAAUCUUUGUUAGUAGUACAUGCCUCAAAUUAAAGUACGUACUUAUGGCCAUUAACCUUAAGAUUUGGAUAACACACUGCAGAAAGAUCUGGUUAACCUAAUUCAUAAGCUUACAACAUCAAAGAAACUUUUAAUCCCCCCUUAAAAAGUGAGAACAGAUGGAAAACAAUUCACCUUUCAUGACCAGUGAGAACAGAUAAAUGUUGAAAUAACAUACAUAACAAUGAAAAAUAAAUAAAUGGGAUGUUCAUCUAUCAAAUGUUAAUUUUUUUUAUUCAACCCAAACCCCAUUUAUUACCUUGGAACCUUUUCCAAAAACAAUUUUAUUUUGUGGGAAAACCUUUAGAAAGGGGGUUUAAAAAAACAUUGUGAAAUUUGGGGGGGAAAACCAAAAAAAGAACACACACUUUUUUUUUGGGAAACCUCUUCCCCUUGGGGAAAAAGAAAAUUCCAUUUUAAAAAAAUUUUGGGAAAGGGAAAAGAGAAAAGGGGGACCCUUCCCCCAAAGAAGGAAAUAUUUGGAAGGGGGAAAAAAAAUGGGAAAUAUUGGCCCCUUUUUGUGAACUCUUUUUUGGAGGGUGGAAUAAAAAACAAAAUUCCUUUAAAGAUCCUUACCAAAAAGGGCCCCCAAAAAGUCAAUUUGGUUUUUUUUACCUUACCCUUAAGAACCAAAAGAGAAGCCCAUAUUUUUUCCUCAAUCCAAUCUUAUAAACCUUCUUUUUUCUUUGCUUAAAAGACCCUUCCAUUAAGUUUUAAAAUUAAUGGGUUCAAAAUCCAUUAACCAAAAUUUCGGCGAAUACCUUCUUUUUUUNNNNNNNNNNNNNNNNNNNNNNNNNNNNNNNNNNNNNNNNNNNNNNNNNNNNNNNNNNNNNNNNNNNNNNNNNNNNNNNNNNNNNNNNNNNNNNNNNNNNAACCCAUCCUCCAUAUGUUUUGCAUAAUUUGAGAUUUGGUUAACCAAUUUUUUUUAACCAUAAAAAAAAUUCUCAAUUGUGAUGGGGAUAAAUUUAUAAUGAAAAAUUUAAUUGAAGUGAAGGUCCAUGUUGUUUUUGAAGCAUAUAUGAUUUGAGGUUUGCCAUGGUUGAGAUGAAGAAGGGAGAAAUAGAGAAAAUUGUGUGAGUAUUUGGAGAUAGAGAACGUAUGAAGGUUUUUUUUUUGCUCUUCUAACCCUUUUUAUUUUCUAAUAUAGAUUGAUAUUGAUACUCUAUAUAAAAAACAAUAUUUUUUAGGAAGAUUUUUUUAACAGAAACUAUCUAACAAAGAUACAUAAAAACAAACAACCUAAAUCCUAAUCAAAUCUAAAAUUUAAAAAGGUACUAAAUAAAUAUAGAUAAAAACUAUCAAAAUCUAGCAAAUCACAAUAAAAACUCAUAAAAUUCUGAAUUAAUUAAAAAUCCGAAAAUUCAAUAAAAAUACCAUAAAAAUUAAUUAAUGCUCUAAAAAUAAAUUAAGAUUAAAUCAAGAAAUAAACAACCUAAAUCCUAAUCAAAUCUAAAAUUUAAUGUGACAAAUAGGGCCAAGGUGGAAAAGCUGAUGUGUAAAUUAUUAAAUGAGAAUUAAUAGGUGGAAAAGCUGACGUGUAAAUAAUUAAGUGAGAAUUAAUCUCGGAGCGACACGUCACUAACUUGGCCUGUGAGAGCGACACGUCAUGCUAGAAGUUCUUCUUUUCUAAUAUAUAUAGAUUCGUACGUAUGAUUCCAGGAAAAUUAUGUGGAAGUAAUUAGCUUUCUUAGCAUGUGUAUAUUGCAGACAUGUUCUAUGAAGACAAGGAAAAGAAAUUGAUGUUUUGGCAUAUAUGGGUAAUUUAAUUUCUAUCACAAAUAUUUAUGAAGGAUGAUAAUGAGAGACUUCAAAAGGUCCAAUUAUUGCACCAUCUUUAUGCAUGCGGACGAAACACAAAAGUAUGGAUUUCGUAAUCCUUUCGUUCAUAUUUAUCUGUCCAUUUUAAGAAAAAUAAUUUAUUUAUAUUUAACUGUCCAUUUAGCAUUUCAAGAGAGCAUUAAAUGAUGUUUUUCCAAGAAAUGACAUUUCAUGGACAAUAAAUAAUGAAAGAUAAAGUACAAUUUAAAGGGUGAAAAAGGAAAACAAAUAAUAUUUUUCUGAAAAUCAACAAAAUUAAUUGCACUCCUUAAUAUGUGUGUUCUUAUCUCUUUGGACAGUUAAAUAAGAACGGAGGAGUAUCUAAUAAUGUUUAAGCCUUUUAGGACCACCAACAAAUAUGUAUCUACCAAAUAGCUAAGCUCUUCAAUGCAGGUUUCGAUUCUUAAGUGGUGUGUAUGAAAAAUAAAUUGUUAAAACUAUUUAUUUAAUGUGAUUUUUGAGUUUCGAAAAAAUUAGUGCAAUAGCUGUCAGCCAUAAAAUUUAUUGAGAAAAUUAAAGAAAGAUAACGGAACAAGACCCAAAACGAUAAAACAACCCACCAAACCAACAACCAGCCCUCUCAAAAAGCCAACCAAAGAAAGAAGAAGCACCCCGAGCCAACUAAUCACAAUUAAAGAUUAGGAUGAUUAGCACUAAUUUGCUCUAUUAAACCCUUAUAUACAUCGCCAUGAUUACCACCUCAUACGCUUACUAAAAAGCAAUGUUUGCGGGCUCUAAUCAUGACUUUGGACUCCUUUCAAUUGGAUUAAAAUGAAACUCACUUGCAAUCAGACUCUUUGCCUUAUUCUUGCUACCUUUAGGAUGUCCCUUCUUCAAUCUACCCACUGGCGUGCUACCACCUUGCUUCUUAGGAGGCCUCCCCUCUUCGGCUUAGUCAAUUUAGGAGAUGAUUGGACCUCCAUAACCUCACCAUCAUAAAUAUUUGUAAAUUACUAUUAAACAUUUGUAAAUUAGCCAUUUCCCCAAAUGAAGUAUAUGAUUCCACACAUAAUCUUCUUUUGGUGGUGUGAAACUGAAGCUAUUUCUAUCAUUGAUUUUUUCUUUUUUUUUCUUCCUUCUCAAGCUAUUCGGUCAAUGUUAUUUGUUUCUUUAUUAUCCAAAUCAGCGUCUUUUGGGCUUGUGUCCAAAUUACAUAGCUAUAUGGAUAUGGAUAUGGAUAUGGCAAAAGACUAUAAUCAUAAAGGACCAAACUAGGGCCAAGAUGCUUACAUAGCUAGUUGGAUAUGGAUGUGCGGAUGAGAAGAGGAGAAGGUUGAUCCAGAAUAGUAUUUUGUUUUACUUCUCUGUUUGUUGUGUCCUUAGCUGGUUUUAGUUGUAGCUUUUAAGAAGCUUUAUGACUUGGUGAGUUUCCAAAAUAUUCCCACCUUCCUCUGUCUGUUUCACGUGGGAAUCGGUUGGAAACUUUAACUUGGUAUUGGUUUGCUCUAGGCGGUCCCCUAUUGUCUUUUGUUAUUUGUUUUGCCUUGUAGCGUAAAGUCAAUCCGGCCUUGUGCCCCUUUGUAAUUGGACUUAGGUCCUUUUCUUGAAUCUAAGUUCAUUUGACAAAAAAAAAAUGGAUGUGGGGCACAUAAGGGCAGGGGGACUUGGGGGAAAUUUAAUACAAUAAUAUACUACCAUAUCAAUGGUAUAUAGGUUGAAAAUGGCUCUCGGACCCAUCGGCUAAAAAUUCUUAUAAUAAUUCUUAUAAUAGUAGGUAAAAUUUACUGAAACAAUAUGAGGUUGGAUAUGAUUAAAUACUCGUAAAAAAUAGUGGGUACGGAUUAAGUAGAUAGGAGUAAUAUAGUACCCAUCCAGCCUCAUAUUCGUACACACUUUAUUAACUAUUUUGAUUUAUAUAUCUACACACUUAAUAGUAUUUUAACAAACUUAAUUAUAGUUACAAAUUUCUAACUUUUUUUUAAAUAAGUGGUGUCGUAAUAUUAUAUAUACCUUCACAAAACAUAUUAUAUUUAGUGUUGCUAAUUUACUAAGCUUAUUUGUGAAAUAAGUAAAUAAUUAACCUAUACUAUAUUAACAUGUACUAAUCUAAAUUAUAAAUUUAAAGUUAUAAUAUUCUCACUCACUCUUAUUAACAAUAUCUAUACUUAAUUGAAUGAUUUAAUUUUUUAAAUAUUUGGAUAGCCUUUUAUAUUUUUAAUUAAUAUUUGUUUAUGUUGAAAAAUAAAAAUAGUAAAAAUAAUGUUUUAGUUAACUAAAUUGCGAGUAUAGUACGAGUAUGAGCAUAUAGAUACCCAAAGAGUACGGGCCUGGGCGUUUAAGUUGCUACCAACGUGGGUAUGGAGACGAGCACGUGUAGCUUUUGAUAAUGCGGGUGUGAGUAGCGUACUCAGACCUACCCUUGUCAUCCCUGUAGUAUAUUUAGAAAGAGCAGUAUAGUCCUAAUAAAUCUGCUUCUCCCACUACCAAGGUAGAUCUGCCCCUGCUUUUAUAUCGUGGUGGUGAUUGGAAUUUGUGAGGUGUGGGUGGUUUUGGAGGAAGAGAAAGAAGGGUCGGGGAAAACGAAGAGGAAGAAAGGGGAAGACGAAGAGGAAGAAGCGAGAUCGGAUGUGAAUAACUAAAUCAUUUUCGAGGCUUUAAUUUAAAACGGAUGUGAAACGCUGACUAGACUUGUCACUGGAAUUGUCAACUAGUUAAAAUUGAUGAUAAAAAAGAUAAAAGGACCUAAUUUUAUUAAUUUAAAAGUUAUUUUUUAAGAACCCAAUUUAAUUUCUCAUACAAAAUUAGGAAUUUAAAACAUAUUUAAACUUAUUGUUUAACCCUCUGACAUUCACAUAUAAGAAACAUAAUAAAGUUAGGUUAACAAUCUAUUUUCACCUCCACCAUAGAUAAAAAAGAAGAUAAUAAGUGAUAUAAUUUGUGAUGUGAUGAGAAAUGUAAAGAAAAAUAAAAUGAAAAAGAAUAAUUAUAUCUUCACAUUUCAUUUUUGAGGUGUGAAGAUGUGGAGGAAGAGAGAGAUAGGAAAAAAAGAGAGAGAAAGUAAAGAUGUGAUAUAUAAUUUGAUUGAUAGAGAAAAGAAAAGUAAUAAAAAAAUAAAAGUGAAAAAGGAAUGGAGAUGUGUAUAUAUCAUAACUCAUCAGAUAUUGAUAAUGGAGAGUCGAAUUCAUGGACCAUUUUUGUACGUGUCCGAACAGAUCUUGAUGAUAAGUUUUGAAACAAGAGCCGUAAAGUGGUGGCUGUGUCAUGUGAGUGUGCCUCACAUCCAUUACCAGUCACAUGCAGAAAUUUGCGUUUGAAAAUAUUUAUCAAUCUGCAUCUGGUAUCUUUAUCAAUGUGCCUUCUUUAAUUUGUACUCUUCUUUUGCUAUUUAUUUACUAGGAUGUAUCACAACAAUUUAGAUAUAUAAUAAGGGGAGUGAUAAUUAGAAACUAAAUAGAAGUAAGCACAAGGAUCAAGUAAAAUUGAGUAGAAGUUCAAAGAUUAUUUGACCGAAGGAGUAUAUAUCCGAGGGGAGUAAUCAUUUAUAACCAUUUUAUUAGAUUAUCUCGUAUAUUUAUAUAAGUAUGAAUUAUUUGGCUUAAAUUUUAAAUUUAUAAAUUCAAGUUCGCUAUCAUAAAAAUGGAGAGAUCGAUAGGUCUGAGUAGUUGGCAAGGUUAUUUAUCAUACGGUUUUGGAUUAAGAUCAUCAGUUUCAGGGUUGAAAAACAUAAAAUCACCAGGUUUGCUACCGUUCGUGCUCUAACUACGGGCUAGCGGGUUUGGUUUUGUCGGAUGAUGGUUUUGUCGGGUGGGUUCGCACGGUUUGUCAAUCCUGAAAAUUAUUAAAAAAAAAAAGAAAAAGAAGAUGAAAGAAACAAAAUCAUAUUCCAUACAGCACAACGCAGAAAAAUCUUAACAAAAUGAAAAAGAAAUGCUAAAAAACCCAACUAGAAGAGGGGUAUAUAUCAAAUUCCAUAGGAGAUGAAGCUUCAUCGCAUAUAUGGUGGGAACCUCAUGCCUCCUCUUAUACACUCAACGGUUCCGGGGAGACCCCUGCUCUUUCUAUCGAAGGAAGAGAGGGAGGAUUUUGUGUUCCCAAACCUUUGAGGCAUUGUUCUUGCCGCAGCACCGAGAACAAANNNNNNNNNNNNNNNNNNNNNNNNNNNNNNNNNNNNNNNNNNNNNNNNNNNNNNNNNNNNNNNNNNNNNNNNNNNNNNNNNNNNNNNNNNNNNNNNNNNNUCUCUGGGUGGGGAAAUAUUUUUCAAAACACCCCCUUUUUUAAUUGGUUGGCCCCCCUUUUCCCCAAUUUGUGUUUUUCCCCUGUGGGGCAAAAAAUGUAAAUGGGUGAAAUGGGUGGGGAACCACCCUCCAAAAGUUCUCCCUUGACAAUUGCUUAUAAGAUAAGGAAAGCCUUUCAAUAUCAUCUUCACUUAUAAAUCUUUGUCACCAAACAAGUCUCUGAUUUCCCUCUGAACCUUACUCAUCACUCUAGCAUUCUUCAAUAGUGCUGUCAUGGCCCAAACUACUAUGGCUGAGCUAGUGUCUGUUCCUGCUAUAAAGAUGUUCUGCACAUAUAUGCAUGACAUAGUUAAAUACACAAAUAAAAUUAAGGGCAAUUAAGGAGGUUCCUCAUUCUUUAUCCCGCUAAUAAAAUUUUAACAUAUCAAUUAAAGAUUAAACCACCAUGUGAGUUUGUAACGAUCCAACUCGGGACUGUCUAGCGUCCACUAUCUAUUCGGGUAAUGCAUGCAAACACUGCUACCAAAUUGUUGCGAAUUAGCUACAAGAAUAUCAAAUUCGCAAUUAAUUUUUGAACAAUUAUUUUACAACUAUUCUUUCAAGUUACAAUGGUUACAAAUUCCAUGUAUAAGCACUAUCUCGAUAACAUCAUCUGAAUAAGUGAUAGACAUUAGACAAAGCGGUCCAACUAAUCUCACUUUUUAAUUAAUAUGGAAAGAUUUCACUCUGAUAGGAAAUUAAUUGAGACACCGUAAUGAACAUGGCAAGAUUUUGAUUCAUAAUUUUAUAAUUAAUCACUAAUCAUGUUCUUUAAAUUAUGGAUUGCAUAAUGCAUAUAUUCAACAAACAUGCAUUUGAAGUUAGAAAUGGAUAGAAGAGAAAAAAGUAAUAGAUGUGAUAUAUGAUGAAAGAAAAAUAUUGGGGAAAAAUUAGAUAUUUGUUAAAAGUAUGUAUGCCUGGUAUCAUUACAGUUAAAUUAAGGACUAUUAAGAAGGUGCGUUACUUACCAUAAGAAUAGCUUUUAUAUGGUCGGGAGUAAGAUCAAAAGAGAAUGAGUGGUGAUUCAUCAUCUGCACAAGAAUAUCAAUGAUAUAUGGAACUUCUUGGUCAUUGGUUUGAGGCCUUGUUGGAUUCAUGUGGUCAUGGAUGACUCGUUCAUAGAUCAAAUCUAACUCCUUGAAGGUUUUGUCUAGCCUCCUCAGAGUUCCUCUAAGUCUAUCAACCCACCCCAUCAAUGGAAAGUGAUCAGAAAAGUAAAAUUCUGUCAACAAAGCUUGAGCCUCAUUGAGAAGUACCUGCAAUCUACUCUUCUUUUGGUCAUUUCCUAUUUCCAAUUCUUCCUCAUAAUCAUAGCCGUACUUUCUCCCAAAAGCUAUCCUGCAUAUUAGGGAAUUUGUGAAAGACAUCAAUGUUUCAGUCAAGUUCACUGCUUUUUCUGAAGAAUCAUAUUUUGCUAUUUUCUGAAUCAUUUGGGAAACUUCAUUUUCUCUGAUGUUACUAAAGGAUUGGAGGCGUUGAGAGCUGAAAAGGUGGAGGGCACAGAGUUUUUUCAUUUCUCUCCAAUAAGGGCCAUAAGGUGCAAAACCCAAGUCCAAGCCAUUGUAAGACAAUUUCCUCAUGCCAAGGAAAGGUGGUCUGCUUGCAAAUUUGAGGUCAUGGGUUUUCAAAACUUCUUUGGCCAUUUUUGCUGAGGAAACCACCAAACAUGGCACAGAGCCAAGGUGCAAUAUCAUGAGAGGUCCGUAACGUUUGGAGAGUUUCCAUAAACAGCGAUGCAGUGAUGAGCUAUCAAGUUGGUGUAUAUUGCCGAUUAGAGGAAGGGUUGGAGGGCCAGGUGGAAGAGUUGCUCUUGUACCAUAUGUUCUGUAUUUGUGGAUGAUGAAUAGAAUGGCGAUAGAUAAUAAAGAAAGAAGAAAAAGCCCCCCCAUGAUACAAGCUUGCAAAUUGCUCAUCUUUCUUCCAAUUUUAUAGAAGGGGAGAAAAGUGAUAGUUACACAUCACAUUAGGUGUACACGUACACUUGAAAAGGAAGGAAAGUAUACAUGCUCUUCCUAUAGAUUUGGAUCCAUUCAAUUGUAAAAAAAAAUUGAUCAUGUGGAAGUUUCACCACCUCACCAAUUAUUAUUAUGUGUUUAAUAAUUGAAUAAAUAAAUGAGAAUUAAAUCAAUGAUGUAAUGAUGAAAUUUGACAUGAUCAAUUUUUUUUUAUAAUUAGAGGAUUCUGAUUUCGAUCGAUAUAUAUUAUGAUUUUAAAAAUAUGAGGGGUAGAAACAUCGACAAAAAUAAAGUAGUAGUAGAAUUUGCACAAACUUAAAACAUCAGGGACAAAAAAUACUUUUUAGCCUAAUAUAUAAUAUAUGAUUAUUUUUCUUACUACUCCCCCUUUUAGUUUCUACUUAUAACUCCCCAUUUCUUGUCAACACCAAAAAGUUGUGUAAAAUCUGGGGAUGAGCAGAUGCAAACAAAUCACUGAAAUUAACAUAUGAAAAAGUAACUAUAUAUUCGGAAAUAUUUAUAUUACAUUAUUAUGUUUAUAAUAUUUUAGAGAUGAUUAUGUUAUAUAGAGACAUGAAUAUUUUAAAUUUGGAGUUGUCUAAAUGAUCUAUGUAGGAUACUAACCCACAACUCAAAGCACCAAUAAAUUUUUUUAUAAAUAAAUUAAUAAUUAAAAUAUAAAAAUUCUAACGUACUACAUAUUUUCAAUGUGAUUGAAUGAUAAAUCAUUUAACUUAAUUUUUUUAUGAAUCAUUUAGAAAACCUACCGCUGAGUUGAUUUUCUUAUACCACAACCAUAAACAAAAUAACAAUAAAUGAAAGAAGAAUACAAAGAAGCAGAUUGGUAAAGAUACGAAGCGCAUAUUGAUAAGAUACCAGACACAAAUGACUACAUGUGAGGCACACAAUCAUCACGUUUCGUUAUGGCUCUCUUCCAAAGCGAUGUAAUUCAAACUUAUCAUCAUGAUCUAUUCGGACACGUACAGAAAUGGUCCAUGUUGAACUCUCCAAUGUCCAUAUCUGAUAAAAAUACUAUUAUAUUUAUUUUAGGCUUAAAUACUCUGAAAGUCUCUGAAAUUAUCUCUCGUAUGAAAAUAAGAGUGGAAUAUAAGGUACAAUACAUGAUGGGUCUUGCACCGGUGCCAUAUAGGUGAGGGCCAAUGAAAUUAAAGCAUCUGUCAAGUGGGGAAACUGGAAACCGUCUGUUUAUGUUAAUUGAAAAUUUAUUGUAUUCGAAAUAAAAUAUGUAAAUGACACUUGCACCCCUGUUUUUCUCCCUCAAUGCUUGAAGAAAGAUUCAACCUUCUUCACUGGCAAAUCUCGCUGCCGCGGCCAUCUCAUUCUCUGGUAAUAUUUUAGCAUCUGGAUUUUGCACUUGAUAAAUUAACUUGAUUGUGAAAAAAACUUGCAGCAGAUCCGAAUUCAACCCAGACGAAAUAAACUGACCAAAGAAUCUAUUAAUGACCCAGAAAAUAUUCAACCCAGACGCACCGAAUGCUCUGAACUCUAAAGUUCAACUUGUCACUCCUCCCUUCACAUUUCUUAGAUUCACCAAGUAAAACAAAAAGGGAGAAUCUAAAUUGUUUAUGCAGUUAGUUUCUCUCAAACCUUUUCUGCAGGCCCGUUGGAAUUGGACAUGGCAUCUUAGAGGUCAAGUGUUGCUCAAAUUCAAAGAGCAAAGCAACCCCAUCUUUUGUCCAAACAAAGAAACGGUGCUUGAGAAUUGAGAUGCAGUACCCUUUACUCAGAUCAAGAUAAUUCACCGGUUUCUCCCCAAUGCCUGAAUUUGUGGCACCGCUUGUGGCUCGUGGGAUCGAUGAUGGUGGCGGUGGUCAUCGACAUCUCGGUGACUCCGAUGGUGGCGUUGAGUGUCGAUCUCGAAUCUGGAUGGGGAGAGUCAAAGUGAGACAACUAAUUUCAGAUUUUGGAGAGGACAUUCCUAUUAAUCGUCACAUCAUCGCCACAGGAACAGAAGGGGGAUUCAUUUCCCUCGUUUGAACGAUGAUCCACCAUGAACUCCAGAACCCGCAAACCCUAGAAUAAAAGUUCUGGUCAUUUCUUAAAAAAAAAACCUCCAUUGGUGCACGCAAACCCACCUUGAAGAUGCAAAUGCAAAGCAAGGUCGAAUUUCGUGAUGGUGGCGAUUCGCACCCAGAUCCGGGGCUUUCGUGUUGGUUUGAUGCAAAGCGGAGAUGAGAGUUGGAUUGGGUGGCGCAAGGCUGCGGUGGUGGGCUGUUAAGUUUGGUGGAUUUUUUUGGAGUGGGGCUGGUUGGUUCUUGUGUGGUGGUUGGAUUGCUGUUUCUGAAUUCUGGCACGGCGCAGUAAUAGCUCUAUCUGGGUUUUUGGGAUGAGUAUGGUGGGUGAGGGAGGGAGAUGGAGGUGGGGAAGGGGGAGGUGCAGUGUAGGACAAAGGUGGAAGAUGGGAAGGAUAUAAGGAUAAUUUCGUAAUAUGACUUUUUUAUUUUUUUCUCAAGGUAAUUAUAACCUCCUAUAAGAGGUCAAAUUCACUCUUGCAUGGUGCAAGACCUAAGAUGUCCUUGCACCCUAACAGCCACCGAAAAUAAGUCACUGAAAUGUUUUUUUUCGAUUCGGAAUCCGAGGAAUUUUUUUAAUCAGACAACUUCAACAAGAUGUAAAAACUCCCAAAACUUCCCAACUUUUUUUUAGAAAGUAAAAUGAUAUUAAUAGAUAAAAAUACAAUCUUGAAAAAGAUUUUAAAGUGCAAAGCUCCAUCAGUCACAAUCUACAACACAUAUUGAAUAAAAACCCAACCACAAAAGAUAUAAAACCUAAGGAAGGAAAAGCCCCGAAAAAUCCAUNNNNNNNNNNNNNNNNNNNNNNNNNNNNNNNNNNNNNNNNNNNNNNNNNNNNNNNNNNNNNNNNNNNNNNNNNNNNNNNNNNNNNNNNNNNNNNNNNNNNGUAAUGUUGUGUGAAAAUUGUGAAACAGGAUUAACAAUUUUCACCCAGAAAAACCACUAUUGACCAUGUUUACGAAUUUCGUCCACCUUAAAGAUGCAAAUGCAAAGCAAGGUCGAAUUUCGUGAUGGUGGCGAUUCGCACCCAGAUCCGGGGCUUUCGUGUUGGUUUGAUGCAAAGCGGAGAUGAGAGUUGGAUUGGGUGGCGCAAGGCUGCGGUGGUGGGCUGUUAAGUUUGGUGGAUUUUUUUGGAGUGGGGCUGGUUGGUUCUUGUGUGGUGGUUGGAUUGCUGUUUCUGAAUUCUGGCACGGCGCAGUAAUAGCUCUAUCUGGGUUUUUGGGAUGAGUAUGGUGGGUGAGGGAGGGAGAUGGAGGUGGGGAAGGGGGAGGUGCAGUGUAGGACAAAGGUGGAAGAUGGGAAGGAUAUAAGGAUAAUUUCGUAAUAUGACUUUUUUAUUUUUUUCUCAAGGUAAUUAUAACCUCCUAUAAGAGGUCAAAUUCACUCUUGCAUGGUGCAAGACCUAAGAUGUCCUUGCACCCUAACAGCCACCGAAAAUAAGUCACUGAAAUGUUUUUUUUCGAUUCGGAAUCCGAGGAAUUUUUUUAAUCAGAAUAGGCCCCUACCCGUAUUAUAUGCUUAUGUGGCUCUUAUUUUGCACAGUCAUCAAUUCGAAGUGUAUUUUUUAUUUUUUUUAUAUUCCAACUGUGUUAAUUAACAAUUUUUUUAUUUUUAAUUCACAAAUAAUUUUUUUUUUCAUCUCCAUUGCUGAAGUAAAGAGUGGCUCCCAAUCAUGUAGCUGACAACAAAUGUAAUUUUUCAUUCUUCUUCUCAUAAAUUUUUUAAUAGAAUUUUUAAUUGAUCUUCAUCUUCAACCCUCACUACCACAUUCAUCAAGCCCCCUUCAUUUCAUUUUCAAUAUUGCACCACCGCCAACCCAAGUUCUCACAAAAUCAUCACCACCCACAACCACCACAUUGUUCAAUCUUUCCAACCCAUAUCAGAAGAGAAAGCAUGAAACCAAAAUAUCCGAACUCAAAAACCCAGAUUCUCGACCCAAAACACAUACAACUAAAUUUAUUCACCAUCAUUUUCAUCAUUCUUUCAUCAUCUUCUUCCUUCAAUAGGAAAAAAAAUCAGAAAAACAAAAACAUAUAACCAAACCCAAUGCCAUCAACACCACCCAGAUCUGAACAAAGGAAGAUGAAGGAGGGAAGCCAUCGAAACCCAACACCCACCACAUCGAAUCGUCUCCCCAUCAGACCAGAUCUGCCUCCAAACCUUAGGGCCUCUGUUAUCUGCCUCUGGAACCAAACCUCAACUUCAUCUUCUUCAGAAAAGACACCAGAUCUGACCAGAUCCAACAAGAAAUUGACUACCUUCUGGCGGGGUAGGGCACCACCGCGACCCUUGACGAGGUUGAGGUGAGGGUCGACCUCAUCAGCACUGUCGAUGGUGAGAUUGAAGAAGAGUUGUUGUCGGCGCGAAAGGUGAACGAAGGUAUAGGCAGAGGCAGGUGAGUGCGAGGAAGGUUGUGGCUAUGGCGCGGUGUGGCUUUGUUUUGGUCGCAUUUUUGGAUCGGUGGUGGAAAACGACAACGACAGCGACAAGAGAUUGGAAAAUGACGGCGACGACAGGGAGGGGAUGGGUUGGAGAAGUGGGAGAAGUUUAGGUCUAAGAGGAUUUGUGUUCUGAGUGAGUGAGUGAGAGGGUGAAUAAUUUAUUUUAUGGUUUUUUGUGGUUAUUGGUGGAUGAAGAUGAUGAAUAAUUUAUUAAUCUUCUCCCUCCUAACCUAAUCUGAUUGAUCUAUGGGAAUUAAAAAUAAAGUUAUUUGUUAAUCAUAAUUUAUUUAACACAGUUGGAAUAUAAGAAAAAUAAAAAAUACAUAUGGAAUUGAUGACUACGUAAAAUAAGAGCCACAUAAGCACAUAACACAGGUAAGGACCUAUUCUAAUUAAUUUUUUUUCAGGGAUUCGGAAUCGGAAUUUUUUUUCAGGGACUUAUUUUCGUACGGGAGACAAUUUCAGAGACAUGCAUAGUAUUUAAAACUUUCGUUUAUUUACGCCGCAUUCAAGCGACGUAUAGUGAAGUUUUUCAAUCACUGCUAAAUGUGGAGUGUUAAAAAGAACAUACAUGUUUUUGACGGAGUCAAACUACUAUAAAAUUCGCCUUUGUUUUCAAAUGUAAAUUUAUUAAACUUUGUGUUCCUGUAAAUUCAUUUAAAAUCAUUUUCAAGAGUUUUUUUUUCCUAUUGUACAUGCACUUCUAAAUCAAUUCGGUAAAUUUUUCAAUUCAAUAAUUUCAUAUUAUGUGAUACAUUUAUUUCAAUUUUUUGUACAAAUUUUUCCUUGUAAGUGUCUACCGCUACAACGUCAAACCUCAGAGUCAACCUAUACAAAUAACGCAAACGGAUGUACAAAAAUGUCAGCUUAGAGUUAGUUAAACCGACACUAACUAUUAGUGUUGUCCACAAAUAGGCGAUGAUACAUGUUAGCUUCAAGUCGUUUAACGAUAGUUCCGGCGCCGACAAUAAAUCAACUACAAUGCCUAUUUUUGGCUUGUUAAAGGUUGCUUUCAGCCGACAGUAAUGGACAUUUUUUUUAUAGGCUAACAUCUAAAGUCACAUAUAAAUUAGUCUCUGAAAAUUUAUUUCAUAAGUUUUUGUCCCUGAAUUCUUCUUUUUUAUUCGAAAUAAAAUAAGUGACAUUAUAAUGCUCACGUAAAAGUUGAGUUUGGUCCUUGAAUGUUGAUUGGAAUAUUCAGGAAAGAGCAGGAGCUUGUGGAGUUGUGGUCGACGAAGGGUCUGAGAUUUGAUUCGUUCAUUCCAUCCUCCCUUGUUUGCAAUAUUUGAAACUCACUGUAGUUUUGAUUCUGUCUCUCACUUCUGGACGACUGCUGGCUAUGGGGGGUGUGGUAGCUCAGAGGCAGUGGGGCACCGGGGAGGUGUAUGCGUUUUAGUUCCAGUGGAUCGGAGCUUCACUAUUCAGGUUGUUGAUAUACAUGUGCAGACUGUCUUAAACUCAAUGAGCUCCAGCAACAGGUCUUGGACUUGUUAUGCGCAAUUUAUGCAAACCUGAAUCCCACCUUGAGGGAAGUGUAAGAUCAAGGUUUGAUCAGUGGUUGCAUCUCUAUAUUUUGAUGAUUACAAUUAAGGUUUGUGAUGAUGAACAAUUGUGGUACCCUAACGUUUGUCUUCUUUAGUUGUGACAAACAGGUUCUGAAUCUGACCCAAGACUAUUUAUUCAGAAGAAGAAGAACCAAGGGAUACUAAAAAGAGAGUCCUAAAGCGUACCAUGUUCGUUCUGAACAGUGGAAAAUCCUUCAGAAGUUCUGAAGAUUCAAGCUCUCAAGAGGUUCUGAAGAACCAGAGUCAGAAGUUCUGAAGACCAGAUGUUCCAGUGGAACGGUCCAGAAGUAGAAGACUCAAGUUCUGAAUACCUGCAGGAAGUUGGUCCUGAAGACCCAAGCUAUUCUUGCUCUGACGUUCAGAAGUUCCAAGGAACUUGUUCAGAAGCAGAAGUUGCAAGGUCAGAAGAAUCCAAGCGUUAAUCUGACGAAGAUCAGAAGCUUCACCAACGUUCAUCUGAAGCACCUCUGAUCUCAAGUCAACUGGUGAAAGGACAGGUCGCUAUCAUAGUACAACAUCGUACAAGCCUUAGUCUGUCUGCCACCUACCUUGUUCAACCUAGCAGUCUGAUAUUACAAGAGUGCCACUCCAACGGAUAAAACCUUAGCAACGGCUACAUCACAAGUCUUGGAGUAUAUAAAGGCUGAAGAAAGAAGANAGAGCCUAAGAAACUUUGCUGAAAUCAUUCAACAUAUACGAACUCUUAGCAUUAUUUCUUCACUGUUCUUAAACAUCUGAGUUUACUAUUAGCUUUUCAGAAGCACUUGUUGUAAACCCGAAACCUUUUACAUGACAUUGUAAAGUUCCUUAAGAGACCAAGGUUGGUCGGAUCUUGAGAGGACUGAAUCAAGGCUGAUUCAGUGUUUAGCUAGUCUUAAGAGGAUCGGUAGAUCAGCUUCUUAAGAGGAUACUAGUGAGAAAAUCAGUGUAUUGUUAGUCACUUAGCAGGUUGCAAAGUGCAGUUGUAACACUCAUUGAUUUUAGUGAAUUGCCUUCAUCAGAAGAAGGAAGAAAUCACCUUAACAGGUGGACUGGAUUAGCUUGAGCUUUUAUCUCAAGUGAACCAGGAUAAAAUACUUGUGUGCUUUACUUCUUAUCCUUCACACCUAUUUAUUAUCUUCGAGUUUUGAAAAGUUUCAAAAGUGUACCCAUUAUUCAAAAACUCUAUUCAAACCCCCCCUUUCUAGUGUUUUUCGCACCUUCAGGAAGAGCUUUUGGGCCACUUGACUCAUCUAAGGCAACAAAUUCUGGAACCUUGGCUUGCUAAUGGGGACUUCAAUGAGAUUACUUCUCCAUCUGAGGUUUUAGGAGGGGAGUACUGUCAGAAUCGGGCGUCCCGUAUGCUAUCUAUGAUGGAGGCCUACGAGCUCAUUGAUAUGGGAGCCACAUGGAGUGUGUUUACUUGGGAAAGGAGACAUAACAGACGACGUAUGAUUUCUAAACGUUUGGAUAGGGAUGUUGGGGAUGUUUCUUGGCGCCACAAUUUUCCUGAGGCCUAUGUAGAACAUUUAGCCCGAGUUUACUCAGGUCACUGUCCGGUGCUGGUUAAAUGCAAUGCUGCUUUGGAGGACCGUUUAGCUCGUCCUUUAUGUUUUCAUGCCGCUUGGGCGGCACAUCCUCCCUUUGCCCCUUGAUUAGGGACACUUGGAAGGAACCACCACCUUCUUUGGUGCAACCCAUCCUUUUAACACUAACGUGUUCGAGAAUAUUACUAGGAGGAAGAAAUAGGUGGAGCGAAGACUACAACAUGAAUUAGAAGUUAGAGAGACGAAGUCCAUGCUACGACUAGAGAAAUCUUUGCAAGAAUAAUAUGAGCAAAUCCUAACCCAGGAGGAGUUAACGUGGUUCCAAAAGUCCAGGGAGAGAUGGACGAAGUUUGGAGAUCGUAAUACAAAAUUCUUCCAUAGCCAAACUAUAGUGAGACGAAAGAGGAACAAGAUUCAUGGGAUGUUUGUUGGAGAGGAGUGGUGCACAGAGCAUGAAGCGUUAAGGGCGGGGCCCAAGCGUUUUUCACUAAUCUUUGUUAUGUUGAUUCUCAGGUUCGCAGGAAUCAUGUCAUGGGCAUUGUGCCGCCUUCCAUUCCUGAGGGGGAGCAGAAGAACCUAGUUUAACCAAUCUCUCUGGAGGAACACACUCCUAUGGGAGCCACUACAAUAGGGUGGGAUGAUCACUAAUUUUGAUGCUCAGUCCAAAGCACCAAUGUUUGUUUUUGAGGAUGGAAGUUGGAACCCAAUUGUGUGGGGAGGAGGGGUUGCGCGACUGUACUUCAGAACAACGCUGAUGCAUGGGUUUCUGGUGUUUUCAUAAGCUUCAACCAUGGGAGUGCUUUUUUGGCUGAACUUAUGGCGGUGGAGCCCGAGAAUUGAAGCUGGUAGAGAGGGCUCCUAGAUUCAGAUUUGGAGAAACCCUCCCUCUUUUGUUUAUGCAUCGCUGUAUUUGGAUGUUGUUAGUUAGCCUUUCUUUUUGCUAUUAAUUUUCCUCAUGUAAUAAAAAAAACGACAUGUAAGAAAUCACAUUAUGUGCGCUGACAGACAAUGUAAAAAUCUUCAGAGUGUAAUCCAAAUCAGAUUUUAAGUAGGAGAAAAAACCUGUUUGUUUUUUUAAAUUUAAAUGAUUAAAGUUGCACUUUUAAUUUUUAAAAUCCAAUUGGUUUAGAGUGUAUUUUUUUUAUUUAAUGAGUCAACAUAAACAUCAUUAAUUAACAUAUUAUGCCAGGAUAACUUAAGUGAUAAAAGCUAAUAGACAUAUGAGUUGGAGAGAUGGAGAUAGGGGAUCAAUCUUUAAAAUGCAUAUUGGACAUUUUCUAUGUUGAUCGCUUCCUGACAAUAAGGUUAAGAUCAAUUUUCUUGUGCAUUGUUAAUCCUGGGAUCACUUGUGUGUCCAACAUCUCUUCCUUAUGAAUUCCUGGAGGAACAUCCCAAUCAAACGAGUGGAGAAGAUUAGCUAGUGAAAGCUCAAUCGUGGCCACUCCCAUGUUCAUCGCUGGACAAAUUCUCCUUCCACUUCCAAAAGGAAUAAACCCAAAGUCUCUCCCCUUGAAAUCUAUUGAACUCCCAAGGAACCUUUCAGGGUAAAAUUCUUCAGGGUCUUCCCAGAUCUCAGGGUCUCUUGCUAUUGCCCAAGCGUUAACAUGCACUAAAGUUCUUGCUGGAAUCUCAUACCCAUCUAUGUUGCAACUUUCUAUUGUUUCCCUUGGUAGAAGUAAUGGUGCUGGUGGGAACAACCUCAAUGCCUCUUUUACCAUUGCUUUAAAAUAGUGAAGCUUUUCAAUUUCAUCUUCGCUUAUAAAAUCUUUGUCCCCAAAUAAGUCUCUGAUUUCCCCGUAAACCUUAUUCAUCACUCUACGAUUCUUCAAUAGUGAUGUCAUAGCCCAAACUACUAAGGCUGAACUUGUGUCUGUUCCUGCUAUAAAGAUGUUCUGCAUAUAUAUAUAUAUAUAUGCAUGAUCAAUAACACAUAAUUAAUAUUUGUAUAUAUAUGGGACGUAUGAUAUAAGAAAUUAUUUGUUUUUUUAUGAAAAAGUAAGAAUAAAUCACGACCGUUAGAUUUAAUCAUGAGCGGUCAAAAUUAAAACAACUUAAUGAUCAUGUGAUCAUUUAAAAAUAUAAUGUAACUUCAUGUUUUAAUUUGACCAUUUAUAAUUAAAUUCAACAUUCAUGAUUCAUUUUUAAUUAUGUUUUCAUAUAAAAACAUUUUUCUGAUAAUAUACAUCACAGUGGACUAGUUUAAAAAGGAAAAAGCUGAAUGUUACCAAAAGAAAAUUCGUUAACCAUUUUGAUUGGCUAAUGUUUAUCAUUUUACAGCCACUAUUAAAUGAUGUUUAGCAACCACCAAUUAAUUACUCUCUUCCACAUCAGCGUUCUUACCUUUCUUGAUGGAGUAUUAGCAUUAACUUAAUUGCUCAUUUAAAUUAAUCUACUGUGAACACUAAUUAUGUACCACUUUGAAAUUUUUGAUCUACCAUGCCAUCCUUAUUUGGUCCUUGUCCUUGCCAUCCAUUUUAAUUUUUUAUCUCACUCUCGACCAUCCAAAAUAAUUGAUCCACUCAUUAAUUUUUAAAGCACCAAGCCGUUCUCAUUAAUUUUUUAUCUACUCUCUUUUGCAAAAGUUGAUCUAGCUUUCCAUCUUUAUUUAACUCAAACUUUUUUAUGGUACUUGCUACGAUACCACAACACUUGUGUGGGUAUGAUACACGAAAAGGUUGUGGACCAAUCACAUCCUCCGUAUUUAAAAAGAAAAAAAUGAAAAUAUAAAUUAUUUUUGUUGUGAACCAAUCACAUCCUUCAUGUAUGAUACAUUGUGGGUAUCAUAGAAACCACCCUUUUUCAUAUAUAAGUCAUUUAGACAACCUUUUCUAAAUGAUCUAUGUGGGUUACUAACCUACAAUUCAAUAGACCAAUAAAAUUUUAUAUAAAUAGAUUAAUAAAUAAAAUAAAGAAAUUUCAACUCACUUAUCUUCGAUGUGAUUGGACGAUGAGUUAUUUAACCCAAACUUUCUAAUGAGUCAUUUUAAAAAUGAUUUAUCUUAUAACAUCUCUAUCGUUUAGUAUUAACAGAGUGGAGGUAGGAUUUUAUUUUAAGGGGCAGAAAUCAAAUUAAAUAGCAUGUAAAAGACUAAGUAGUGAUCAGAAAACAAAAUUAAACUAAGGAUGGCAAGGUGCUUUACUUACCAUAAGAACGGCUUUUAUAUGGUCGAUAGUGAGAUCAAAAGAGAGUGAGUGAUUGUUCAUAAUCUCCAGAAAAAUAUCAAUAAUGUCUGCUACUUCUUUGUCACUAGUUUUAGGCCUGGUUAGAUCCAUGUGGUCCUGGAUAACUUGCUCGUAGAUCAUAUCUAACUCCUUGGAGGCUUUGUCUAGCUUCCACAGAGUUCCUCUCAGUCUAUCAACCCACGCUAUCAAUGGAAAAUAAUCUGAAAAAAUAAAACUCUGUAAACAAAGCUUCGGCCUCAUUGAGCAACAUGUGCAUUCUACUCUUCCUUUGGCCACUUCCUAGACCAGCUUCUUCCUUAUAAUCACAGCCAUACUUUUUACCAAAAGCUAUUCUUGCAUAUUAAGGGAGCUUUUGGAAGAACAUUCAUUGUUUCAACAAAGUUACUGCUUUGCUUGAAGACUAUAUUUUGAAACUUUGUGAUCAUUUGGCGACUUCUUUUUCUUUANNNNNNNNNNNNNNNNNNNNNNNNNNNNNNNNNNNNNNNNNNNNNNNNNNNNNNNNNNNNNNNNNNNNNNNNNNNNNNNNNNNNNNNNNNNNNNNNNNNNUUUUUACAAAGCUUUCUGCUAUUAAGAGGUUUGAAAGAAUCAAUGUUUCAGUCAAGUUCACUGCUUUGCCUGAAGCAUCAUAUUUUGAAACUUUGUGAAUCAUUUGGGCAACUUCAUUUUCUCUUAUAGGUCGAAAGGAUUGGACACGUUUAGAGCUGAAGAGGUGGAUGAUACAAAGUUUCUUAAUUUCUCUCCAAUAAGGACCAUAAGGUGUAAAAGCCACGUCUUAAGCCAUUGUAAGAAAAUUUCCUUAGGCCAAGGAAAGGUGGCCUGCUUGCAAACUUGAGGUCAUGGGUUUUCAAGACUUCCUUGGCCAUUUUUGCUGAGGAAACCACCAAACAUGGCACACAGCCAAGGCGCAAUGACAUGAGAGGUCCAUAGCGUUUGGAGAGUUUCCAUAGAGAGCUAUGUGGGGAUGAGGCAUCAAGUUGGUGUAUAUUGCCAAUGAGAGGAAGACCUAGAGGACCAGGUGGAAGAGAAGCUCUUGCACUAUAUGUUAUGAAUUUGUGAACAAUGAAUAUGAUGAUGAUAGAUAAGAAAGAAAGAAGAACAAGCACCGCCAUAAUGUAGGCAUACAUGUUAAUUACACCUCUUUCUUUCAAAUUUAUAGAAGGCUAAAAAAUAGUAGUAAACAUCAAAUUGACUGUAUACAUUCAAAUGAACAAAAAUAAAGAAUUAAUGGUUAAAUUAGUCAUUCUGCUUGUAUGUCCAUUUGAUUUUAGUUUCUCACCAAAAAAUAAUUAGUGAUUGUCUCUGCGUUACAUCAAGUUUGAUUUUAGUCUCACCAAAAGACGGAGCUCCGACGAGCAUGUCUAGUGGUAGAGUUGACAUGACAUUAUAGACGUCAUUUUUAAUUCAAUUUUAAUUUUCACCUAUAUAAUUAAAAACUAAAAAAUUAAAAAUUAAUAAAUAAACGCAUCAUCUUUAUCAUAAUAUCCCCUUCGUCGCUGAUCACCACGGGCAAAAUUCACACUCCAUGAUCUUCAUCUAAUCUUCAACAUCUUCCUCUUCUUCAAUACUUUUGUGUUUCGUCCACAUGUAUAAAGAUGGUGCAAUAGUUGGACCUUUUGCCGUCUCUCAUUGUCAUCCUUCAUAAAUAUUUAUGAUAGAAAGAUUUUUUUUUAAAAGGAUAGAAAUUUACACAUAUGCCAAAACAUCAAUUGCUUUUCCUUGUCUUCAUUGAACAUGUAUAUACAUGCUAAGAAAGCUAAUUGCCUCCACGCAAUUGUCCUAGCUAGAAUCAUACAUAAGAACACAAUAUACAGUUUCCAAUGAUAACAAAUAUGUACAGAUUGUUCCCAAAAUAUCUUGCCAAUUUGCUGAUAUGAUUGGAUAUAAUCGGUGGAGAUUCAAGAAUUCUAGUUUGUGGAAUAACUUACACAUAUAAAUUUAUAAUACUUAAAAUAUUAAAAUAACUAGUGUUUUUACCCGCGCGUUGCACGGGAAAUAUGUUUAUUUUAUUUGAUACAUCAAUCAAUUCAUUGAUUAUUAAAAAUAUAAUAAAAAACAAAUGAAAUAGAAGAGUCAGAAAUGAUGAACAAAGUGGACAAAAGACUUCUCUUCUAAGCCUGAUUGAAAUCAACAGGAACUCGUUUCACAUUCUUAUCCGUGCGUUGCAAUCGGAAUAUGUCUAUUGUAUUUGAUACGUCAAUCAAUACCUUGAUUAUUAAAAAUAUACACAAUCAAAUUUAUGUCUGUCCAUGCUCUGUGGACCUUCAGCACCACAUCAACUCCUUUUUCCUAGAAUUAAAAUUAAAUAAAUAAUAUGAUAAAUUAAGAUAAAAUCAAGAAAUAAACAACCUAAAUUCUAAUCAAAUCUAAAAUUUAAGAAGGUACUAAAUAAAAAUAAAUAAAAACUAUCAAAAUCUAGCAAAUCACAAUAAAAACUCAUAAAAUCCUGAAUUAAAUAAAAAUCGGAAAAUGUUGAAUAAGUAGGAUGAAGUGACGGUUGACCCCUAUCAGCCCGACUUCCUUUUGAAAUAACCGGAAGAAUUUUCCUGAAGUCUCCUCACCUUACCCCAGAAAGGUUUGUCGCGACCAAAAUUUGCUAUGGUUUUCAUAACGUUAUAAGACUCGCCUUUUGGAGCAAUUCAGCUUUAGGCGAUCCCUGGCGAAGGUUGCAUGUGGAGACUUCAUUUAUUGAGAUGAGUAUUGAAAAUCUGGGAUAAGCAGUUCUCCCUCAGUAAAGAAGCUAUCCCACUGGAUGCAACAUUUAAAACAAUUAAACCUUUAGAGCACACCGCAGCAGACAAUGUGUUCCUCCCAAACCGUAAAGGAAAAAGAACCCUCCCUUAUUACACAUGACGACAUCCAACACCUGGUUAUACACAUGCUUUUGUUCUCCGGUAAGUGAACCGACCGACUCUUCAUGAACUUUGCUCAUCUCUUUCUUAUUGUAGUUGAGCUCAUCCAAAACGAACUUAUUUUCAAAAUUCAUUAUUUCAGAAAAAGUAGGAUAUAGUAAAGACGAAAUUUUUUUAAGAGAUCUGGCAUUGCACUGUAGCUCCUUUUCAAUUUCAAUUAGACACAUAUUCAUCAACUCGAUUUGGAGAUCUGCAUCGCGCAUCAAGUGAACAAUUAAUAGCACGGAAAAUUAAAUAAAUAAAAAUAAGAUUAAGGUAGGUCACGUAAGCUUUCGUCAAUGUAAUGUGCAUGUGUUGUUGGAAUAUACCAAAAUUAAAAUAUUAAUAGAAACAAAAUAACUUACAAUAAAAAAAUUUAAGAGAUGAAGUACCUGGAAUAUUAAGCGCUUUCCUUCUUUCGUACAAAAUUCCAUCACUCAGAAGCCUCCAUGUUUUUUGCCAAACUUCUUUUGGCCUGCUCAUUGCGUUUGUGAUCAGCAUUCUAGUAGACAAAUUCCUUAGGAAAACUCCAGAUCCCAGUAUACUUACGCCAAUAAUUCUAUCGAUAUGCUCCCGAUAAUCCUCCAUUAACCCCAAAGCUUCACAUGCAUCGUGAAAUGUGGGAUAGACAACAGAUCGUUCUUGCAUCCCCUUACAUUUGAAGGAUUGAUAGUGCGAGAUGACCUUUUAUUUGAAAGUACCCGUUUCCUUCUUGCUCUAGCUUCAGCAUAUUGUGAGACAUGAGAUAUCCUUGCACGGUCCAUGGAUGAAAGUGCUCUUAUAGUAGGGUUUGAACAAAACUACACUGGUGGAAAAACCAUAUGAAAAGGAUAGUUAAUGGGUUUGAGAUGCUAUUCAAGAUAAAUAUAAAUAAUUGAUUGGAAAUUAUUAAUGAUAUCAUAUGAUAUUAAUUUAAGUCACUGAUUGGAAAUUUAAAUGUUAAAAUAAAAACUAUAAAAUAUUUAUUCAUUGAAUAUUUUUUUCUUUAAAUAUCUUAAUGCUAUCAAAUAUUUUAUUGCAAGUCGAAUAAGUCCAAAAAUUUAUAUCGUAUGCGAUGUUUAUGAAAUUAUAAUUAAAAUUUUCACGGUUGGGAUUAAAAUAUUAAAAAGGUGAGGACAAUUGUUGGCUUAAAUUUGAAAACUGACUUUUUUAACUUUAAUUUAUUGGAUGCAACAAUAUAUGCAAUCAAUUCACCUGCAUAGCAUAAUAUUGACGUGCAUAAUGUUUUUAACUUAUAUUUACUUUUAAUUUAUUGAUAUUACUAGUAUUUAUACCCGUGCGAUGCACGGGGAUAUUCGUUUUUGUUUGUCCGUGAAAAUCUUCAAAAUUGGGUUAUUUUUGGUAUGUUUUUAAAAGACAUAGUAAAAGAAAAAAUUUAAUUUUAGAUAUAAAAAACAGAACUUUGUAAGUUUUUUCGUGGUGAAUGUGUUAGUUAUUGGUUUGUAGAAGCACCAUUAUUAUAGUUAUUUGGGUUUUGUUUUUUUUUUUGGAAAAGUGGAAAGAUAAAUUACCUUGAUCAAAGAUGAUUUAUGAACCUUUCCUUCAAACUAUAUAUACCUACUNNNNNNNNNNNNNNNNNNNNNNNNNNNNNNNNNNNNNNNNNNNNNNNNNNNNNNNNNNNNNNNNNNNNNNNNNNNNNNNNNNNNNNNNNNNNNNNNNNNNAAUUCGUCUUGAAAAUAAAACUGAGAAAACAUAUUUCCUAAAUUAAAAGAAAAGAUAGAGGAAAAAAUAAUAGUAAAUUUAAUGGUAUUGAUGUAACCACUAAUUUUUUUCUUAUAUUUUAAAUGUUAUAAUUAAUAGAUAUUUAAUAAAUAUCUAUUAAAUUAAGUGAAAAGUUGCAUAUGGCAAACUCAAAUAUCACAUUGCAGGCUAAAGCAAGGAAACACUUCGAAACACCAAAUCCAUUGGUUUUGUUUCAGUACCCGUAAAAUCAUACACUGUGGAACUCCAAGGCUAUAGAGAUAGCAAUAGAGAAGCCACAAACACCUCUCUAAAGUGUAUUAGAAAUAGAAUAAUGUACAAAAUCAAGCAUAAAAAGUCUGAGCUACAAUUUUUUUUAUCAAUCAAAUGGUCAAACUUAAUUCAGCCGCUAGAGUCUACAGAGCUACUUGCUAGUAAAAUAGUCAAAGGGCUCUUUUAUGUCAAUCAUUGGACACCAACAUUCAUAAGAUUCAGUAAAAUACUACACAAUUUUAUAAGGUUUGCAUUGAGUUCAUUAAAAAGUGAUCAUACUGAUAAAAAUCAGCAAGCUUCAAAUUACAGCGUGUCUCUGCCAGUUUCAUAUAUACCAAUCCUUUAGUAUGCGUCCCAAGAAGGAAAUCCUUUGAACGUUUCCAGCAAAUGUAUUUCAGCACAAAACAGGCACAAAUCCAAUUGCUGAAUGCAAAGACACCCAUCAAAGUCACAUUAAGCUCUCAAAGUUCCUCAACCAUUGUAGUGAAUUUUAUGAUUUUGGGAGCUCAUACCAUGAGGCUGCUGUUGGGAAGCAUGCAUGUUCAACAGAUGUAUUGUAGUGAGCCAAAGGCUGAGAGUAGAGACAAUUCAUCUGCAAAGAACCUAGGAAAUUUAUUGGAUGUAAGAGUUGCAGUGCCAAAUAACAUGAAAAACCAAGCUUCAGUAAAAUAAGGCAUAAAACAACCACAUCAUAUUAAUUUUAACUGAUUAUUGUUAUAAUUAUACAUUUUUAUUAAAAAGCUGGAACUACAUGAAACCUGAGUUUGAAGGUUAGCAUUAGAUCUCCAUUUCGCUAACUUUCUAUCUAUUAUCUAUAUAUUAUUUCUCCUCAGCUCUUCUAAUUAACUAAUUACUAAUGGUUGCAUAAAACUAUUCACCUCUCACCAGUUACAAAUUAAUAACUUUUAAUGUUUCUCCACAUGUUACAAAUUGAUCACUUUUAAUGUCCCUCAUCUGUUACAAAUUAAUAACUUUUAGUGUCUCUCAUCCAUUACAAAUUAAUCACUUUUGAUGUUUCUUCAUCAUCUAUAGUUACGAUAUAUCUUAGACUGACCUACAAAUAUUAUCUUAGUCCUUCUAAUUCCAAAGACUAUUUUAUCUAGUCUUUGCAUGAGGAGCAUUUUCGGUACAUUUUUCCCACAUGUUCCGAUCACAGCUCAACCAACAAUACAUAAACAACCAAUGAAAAAUCAUAAUCAGGCCUUGAAAACCAUGAUUGAAUUGGGAAAAAAAAUCUUGAACCUUAUUGAAACCAUGAUGGGCUUCAAUCGCAAGCUUAAUCUUCUUUCCAUUCAGUAUAAACAUGUUACAAUAUAAGCAAAAAAGGAAAAGACAAAUGACCUAAGGGGCACUCAUGUUAACCUCACCAGACGUCUUAACAUAAAAUUGUUAGAGCCUAGAGAGCUAUCUAAUCUAAGAUCAACAAAUAAAUUAGUGAAAGAAAUUGAAAAAGAUAGAGGAAUUAGAGAACUACCAAUGCAAUGCUCUAAUUUUCUGAAGGUUCGUUCUGAUGGCUUUUAGCGGCACCAUAUUGCAAUGCUUCUCUAGCAGUUUUCAGCUGAUAGGAGAAAAGGAAAUUAUCUAAGCAGCACUUCAGAUCACUUGAAAAAUAAACGCAUUACAAAAUUAUCAAAAAAUGAAUAAAAAUUAUAAACAAUAGAGGAACUUAUAAGAGAAAUAACAAAAAUAGAUUGAAACAGAUUAAAAUAAACAUUAAAAAAAAAUUCAAAACCCAAAAUCCAAAUGAUUCUGCAAAUUUUUUGAAAAGAAAAUCAAAAGCAUGAUCAUUAAUCAUCUUAAAGCCCAUAAUCACAACCAUAAUGGAAAAGAGAAGUCACAGUAGGAAUUGAAACCUAGAGCUUGAAAAGAAAUUAGAAAGAACAAACAACAUGGAAGUCAAUUGAUAACAUAAAAAAAUGGAAGAUAAAAUUAAAAGGUCAUUAUUGACAUCUAGAUGAAGAGUUCAAGAAGUUUCUCAUCCAACCCUAGAUGCACACAGCCACAAUAGUGAUGACCACUUUAUUGAAAAACAUGCACCCUACAUCGAGCAAAUUCAGUGAAAUAAAAGCGUUAAAAAUGGAUUUCUAAACACUAAUAAGAUAAGAAAGAAUCAGAAGAUUUGAACAGAGGAAUCAAUUUUUUACCUCCGUCGUGUCUGUGCCCUCACAGUCUAAAAUCAGCGUGGAACCCUAGCUCUGUAAAUUGGAAGGUGUCGCUGAGGAUCUGAUCGAACAUAAAUGAAGAACAAAGGAGUGAAGCAUAGAUGGAUUGUGAGACCCAAGUUUUUAAGUUUGGAAUAAACCGAAUAAAAUUCCUUUUCACGAUUAAAUUGAUGUAACGUGAAGGAAAAUCUGAACAAGUGUUUAUUGAAUGGAAUCAAUUUGUGAAGGAGAAAGUUCAGGAAAAAGCUAAGGAUUGUAUCAAAAUCGAUAAAAGUUAUAGCACGAUUAGUAUUCGCUUAAAACUAGGUCAAGAAUGCUAGUAAAUAGCUAAUUUAUAUUUUAAGACACGACGGAAACUAAUUCCAAAAUCUUCAGAGAAAUGUUAGAACUUUUCUUAUUCGCCUAUAAACAAGCGUUUCGAUACGAAACCCUGGAAUGUACGAACGUCAAAUUCCAAUACUCGGAAGUUUGCCGAAACCGAAUUACUGAUAGUUCAGAAACCCUUUAAUCAACGGACGAUGAAGACUUUUUCUAUUCGGAGCUUCAAACGAAGAUUCCACACGCGUACGCCAUAUUUAUCUCGAUAUUUCUAAUCUUUCUUCAGAACGAAGUUUUCUCAUCCGACAUCAACUGCAAAAAGUAGUUUUUCGGGUAAAAUCGAUUUACACCGACUUUUGAUCGUUUGAUUAAAUUCCAAGAAACCUGUUUUGAGUUAUGGAAUUCUGUCGCCAGAACCUAUCUUAGAAUUCUCCGAGGAUUACGCAGGAAAAAUCGGAAUCGCGAAAUUUUCAUUUUUCCAAAUUUUCCAAAACCUAUAAAUAGCGAGAAAAUGAAAAAAAUUCAAAAACUCACCCCAUUUCUUCCCAAAACCCGCGAGCUUCCAAGGAGAGGAGGAGGAUUUGAUUUUCGCCGAUUCUUGCCCGUUUGCUGCACCGAUCGUUGCUAAUCGAAGACUUCGAGGUAUAGAUACCAUAUCUCACUUCUGAUCGUCGUUUCUGUCGACUUCUUCUAUGUCUUACCCGCAUCCGCAAUGACCGCAACCGCGUCCGCAACCGCGACUGCAACCGCAAUUUAGAACACUACCAAGGACCCCUUCAUCAAGCCCCCAUGCACACGCCGCUCUGAUAUUCUCAAUCAACUCAUUAAUCUCAAGGUUCAUAACCUCUUUUGGUUCUUAAUUUCUCAUAUGGGGUGUUCCCUUUCCGCUCAAAGUUCUAUUCUUUUGGGAUUCAGAAUUUGUGAGUGAGUGAUACCCUUUGCGUACAACAAUAAAAGCAGGGAAGGAAGGUGAACCAAGAAGAGGAUGAUUACGAGGAAGCUGAAAAAGGUACCCUUUUCUGAUUUUUCUGGGUUUUUCUAACCCUGUUUUCCUUUUAACCCUUUUUCUUCUAUGAUUCCUUUCAUCGUUCUGCCUUUGCUACCUCUGUUAUAGUAAGAAACUAACUUAUCUUUCUGCUGAAUUUUGACUCAGUGUUUUCUAUUUCCUAUUUGCAUCCUGAUAGCCCCAAUUUCAUGCCUUAUUGAGGUUCUUCCUAUAACCAGUCCUGAAUGAGAAGGGAUUUCAUGGAUGGAUUUGUAGGAUUGCUAAGGUUUUCACAAGCUGAGAGACACAAAGUUCCUUACUGAAACAACUUUUUUCUUCACUUUUGUUGAUAUAAACAUCAAAUAAGGGGCAGACAUGCGGAAGCAUUCACGCACAUGUGACAUGCUGUCAUCAUUAUAUGGAUUUGAUUUUUAACUUUUUAUAAAUGAGGAAGUCUGUGUAAUCAAGGUGCACAAUCAUUCUAUGUAAAUGGAGAAGUGAUUAGUGUCAUGUGGCUUCAUGGUGAUCCUGAUAUAAGCAAAAGUUACAUCACGAACAUGUUUGUUGAGGUAUCUACUACACUGUUUUGAUUUGAACUUUUGGUCAUUAUUGUUUCUAGAAGAGAAUAAAAGAAAUAUUUAAAAAAUGUGGGAAUAUUUUGUCCCAUGAAGCUGCCCUGUCUGAUGAUGGGAAGAGCAAAGGAUACAACUUUGUUCAAUUUGAAUCAAAGGAAUGCACAAAUGAUGUAGUGGGCUCUCCACCUUUUGGUUUUUUAUUCUGUUGGUUGAAUAGUUGUCUUUCUCAUUCAUUAAUUACUAUGAAAAUCAAUACAUGAAGACAAGUAACAACUUUGAGAGGGUACUACACUUUUUCUAAAUCCUUUCUUACCUUGAAAGGUUAUUAUUUCUCGCAAACUCUGUUUUCAUGUGGACAGAGUAACCACCCAUGCAAUAGUGUUUCCUUUCAUGUGCUUAUAUUUGGCUUUUUGAUAGAUUAAGAAGUCCUUUGUGUAGAAAAUGCGGUAAGAGUGAUCAAAAUCACCCGGUUUUCAUUUUGGAUAUUGUGCCUUAUUAGUUUGUGCAAUUUGGUUGUGCUUCAGCAUGCUUGGCUGAGAAAUCUCACACUUGAGGAAAUUGCUACAUCUGCUUAUCACAAAGAAAUUCUAGAGUUUGCUAUCACAUGUAUCUCUCUUUGAGAUGUUCACACCAUAGGUAUGCAAAUUUUCAUGCAAUGGGUUAUAUAAUUGAUUUAGUGCCCCAUGAAGUGUUAGUUGGGCAUAUUUGCUUUUACCUUGAAAGAUUGUGCUGAGAAUCUGAGAUGUUUGAUCAAAAAGUGCGCUUCUAUUUGGCGGAAAGAGUGAUCAAAAAGUGUUAGUUGGACUUCUAUAUGGGUUUUGCCUUAGUGGGAGACUAUCUGCCAUGGGUUUUUCUUUAUGGUUUGGCUGCCUUCUAUGCCAUCAAUUGGAUCUUCGGUGCUCUUCCUUCAUCUAUUGGAUAUAUAAUUUUUGUAAGUCCUUUAUGCUGAGGGAUGUGGGCAGGAGUACACUUCCUAUGUGUAUAGAUGCCAAGCCUUAGUGAGGUUGGGGAUACAAUUAAUAGAUCAUCAUCCAAUAAACUUACAGUUAAUAUAUAGUAGCUUUAAAGGAACUUCAAUGUGUCUGAACUCAUGCUCUGAAAUCAGGGUACCAAAAUACAAGCUUCGGUGAAUUUUUUUUGUAGUUAUAUUGACUCUUGGAAAAUUCAAAUCUUCUUGAAGUUAUUACAUUGAGCUUUUUAAAUCAUUUCCUUUAUUUUUCAAAAGAGAGUUAGAGGUGAUAUAAGUUUCUACAGUUAAAAAUUCUGAAGAGUUAUAGUGGUAUACAGCUUGAGAGUUGUACACUUGAACUGUGAACACCAUCAAGUAUAAUAUUUGACUGUAUUGUUGAUGGGUGCUUGAAUUUUGUAAGCCUCACCAUGGUAACUCAAUAUAUGCAACAACCUCUUCAAUUUUGAUUCAUAGAAUGAAGGAACACCCCCCAUAUUUAAUGAGUAGACAUGAACCAAAUUCUUCUACAUUCAACUAGGACGCACAUGUCUUUUUGAAUUUUUAAUAUGUUAAGAUAACACUUUAUCCUUAUACACUACAACAUUAAGAGAUUGGCAAGAAAAAAAAUUGAAGAAGGAGAAUGGUGGAAGUGAACUGUGCCAUGCUCUAUAGCGUAGAUUCUUAUAAACAUUGCUUUAGUUUUGAAGUCAAAAUGUGACAAAGGUGCUUACUUCAAUUGCAUUAAUUUUUCGUUAGAGCUCAAAGGUCACUAUUUACUAUUUUGUGGGAGAUCAAUAGUCACCUAUUAGAUGUCUAAGUAAUAAGAUAUUAUUUGAUCACAUUGAAAGUACAUCAACCAAAGUAUUACAUAAAAGGCAUAAAGAAAUGAAUUGAGUGGCCUUUUAACUAUGACAUGAUUUUGUUCAAUUUGAUUCAGGUGCAGUGACAGUUAAGUUCCAGACUUUAAAUGCAACUUUUUCUUGACCUACUGGAUCAUCCUCUAUUGAUUUAGCCUUCUUCAUUGAUUGCGCAGUAUAGAAACAAAGCAGGAGAUAGGUGCGGAAGUGAAAGUGAGAUGGUCAAUGAGGUGAGAAAGAUGGUGGUUCAGGAUCUUUGCUUCCUUGAGUGGCAUAAUCUAUAUAUAUAUAUGUAAAGCACACUUGUGUUUUUGCAUGCAAUAGAUGCAUUAAUUCAUAAAAGCUCACAUACAUUUAUAUUAAAUACAUUAAAAAAUAAAAAAUUUAAUAAAUUAAAAACUGAAAAAAAUUGUAUUAUAAAAAACUAUUCAACUACUUAUAUUAAAUAACAACAUUCAUAGACUUAAAAUUGACUUGAGCUUUGCAUUUGAAAAAUUUAAAAAAUUAAAAUUUAAAAAAAAAAUUUAUUAAUAAAUAAUUUAGAUAAAAUACUUUUAAAAUAAAAAGUUUUCUAUAUAUAUACAUAUGUAAAGCAAAUUUGAAAAAAUAGCAUUAAACACAUAAAAAAAUAGUAAAUUUCUUUUGAAUUAAAAACAUUAAAUAAAAAAUUGAAAACUAAAAUAAAAACUACAUCCACUUUAUUAUUCAUUAUAUUAAUUAUUAAUUGUUAAACUUUUCAAUUUCUCAUAUUUAAAAGUAAAUAUUAAGUAACCAAAAAAAAGUAAAUAUUAAAAUUAAAAUUUUUUCAAUUUCUCUUAUUUAAAAUAUUUAAAUUUUAAUUAUUCAUCACAACUUGAGGUGAUUGUUUUAAAAAAUAAUAAUAAUUGAAAUUGACUACCUUUCCAUUAAUGACAAUAAUAGAUUGUUAAUAAUAAUUUAUUUAUACUCUCUACUAAUUGUUAAUAAUAAUUAUAAAUCUGAUUAAUUAUUAAUCAUAAGUUGAGAAAUUAAAAAAAAAAUAAAAAAUAAAACUUAUUACUACAUUUUACUUAUAAAAAUGUUUAUUAAUAAAUAAUGUCGAAAAAAUAGUCAAAAAUUUAAAAAAAAUGACUCUAUAAGAUAUUAUUAUUACUAUAUCGAAUGUAUAUAUUAUUUGAAAAAAAAUCUUUAAAUAUGAUUCUUUUUUUAAACUAAAUAUGAUUUUUGAUCUAUUAUAUUAUAUAGAAGUAAAAAUAACUUGAGGAAGCAUAACAGAGAAAAAUAAUUAUACCAAAAGUUGAAUAAAUUUAAAUUUACUGAAUAAUAUUUUACGAUACUAAAAUUAUAACUUAUUUUAAUUUUUAAUUUAAAAUUAUUUCAUUGUUGAUAAAAAAAUUAUAAAAAAGUAUGUUAUUAUAACUUAUAUUAAAACCUUAUUACUUGAUUUAAAAUAUUUCAAAUUCACUUUAGGAUUUUUCAAAUUAUUAAAUUGGUUUUUAAAGAUUAGUUAAGAUAUUGAAAAAUAGAAUAACAUUUGGGGACAAUAUUUCCCCUAAUUGAGUAUCAAUGUUUACAACCGGAUAUAUGAUAAAUCAGCCCCUCUGCAAUUGAAUUACAAUAAUAAAUCUAAAAAUAGAGAACCCAAAUCAAUAAAUAGGUUACCACCAAAGUUUAGAAAAUUAAUUCAAUGUUAAUACAAAAGAAAUUUAAUUACACUAUAAUAAUUUUUAUAAUAUAUUAAAAAAUAGUGUAAAUAAACCCGUGCAACGCACGGGUAUUAUUUCUAGUUUAAUUGUAAAAGCUUCUAGAGAAGGCUAUGUUGAUCAGAAAGAGCUUCAAUGGAAUUCCUAUGAAACCUUGGAUGAAUAGUUGGAGCUGGAGUGGUUGGUAAGUGUCAAACAGAUGUAAACAAAUGCAAUGAAAUAGAAAAAUAGCACCCAUGACCUAUGAACAAAGAAAGAAAAUCGUAAAAAUUGGGCUAAGCUUGACAUGCUUUUUAAAAUUGAGAUUUAGUUUGUUCUGUUUUUUACAAAGCCUUAGACUCUAAUAUGAAACAAACAUUCGUUCCAAUGUGCAGAACCAAUUAUCAUUGUGAGUCAUAUGUUAGGCUAUAUUAUCAUUUUGCUAUUCAAAUAUCUUAGACAUAUUCUUUAAAAUUAAAAGAUACUAAUCAAGUGUUCCCAAUAGUUAUGGGGUUUUUUGAAUUGCCCUUCCUGAGGUUUAAUAUUUAAUAUAUAGAAUUUAAUUCCCUAUUAAUGGGAGAAAUAAUUGGAAUAAAUUUCGUGGUUAAAAAAUUCAUGGGCGAGGGUAAAUAUUAGAGAUAAUGNNNNNNNNNNNNNNNNNNNNNNNNNNNNNNNNNNNNNNNNNNNNNNNNNNNNNNNNNNNNNNNNNNNNNNNNNNNNNNNNNNNNNNNNNNNNNNNNNNNNGAAAUUUUAAAUCUAUAUUGAUUUAUGAAUUUAUAAGAUUUUGUUCCUCUGAUAAAUGAGAAUCCAUGNAGUAAGAUGAUUUGCAUCUAAGUCUGCUCUGAAACCUAAAAGCGGGUUGUUGUUNGUAUUUGCGUAUAAUUUUCAAUUGUAAGUUUAAUUUUAAAGUACUAUAAUGCUAUCUACGUGAGAUUUUGUNUUAUAUAAAAAGUAUCAUUAUACUUUUNUUAUACAAUCAUUAUAUUCUAAACUAAUUAAUUGAUAUUAUUUUAAUAGAAUAAAUUUAAUAUAAUUAACUUUAGUAUUAUUUUCAAAAUUUAAAGAGUGUAUAUUUAUAUAAGUAUAUAACUAUAAUAAUUUGAUAGUAAGAAAAGUACGAGGAAUACAAAAUAUUAAUACAUAUGAACUAUAAAAUUAUGACCUGAAUUUAUUAGUGCUAACAAAUUAGAGUUACGAGAUCUCAUGGGGAGAAACAUUUUACAUGAAAAUGAAAAUUUGUACGAGUUAAAAAAAAUAAAAUUCAUUUUCUAUAACUUAAGUGUAUUUUUAAUAAUUUAAAAAAUAAUUAUAUAUUUAUGUAUUGUUAUAUAUCUAAAACACAAAAACAUUACCCUUUAUGCAACACGAAUAUACAUCUUCACAAACAAAAUUCAGUUAUACCUCACAUGCAAAAAUUAAAGCUUUUGGUUUAUUAACUUCUGUGUUUUUCAAAAUUUGUGCUCUUUAAAUAUCUACAUCUUUAUUAUGAUUAUUCUUAUAUUCUUAGCAUCUUAAAUAUUUAUAAUUUAAAAUAUGAAUCGAUAUAUCAAAUACAAUAGACAUAUUCCCCGUGCAACGCGCGGGUAAAAAAGCACUAGUACAAUAUACACUUUCCUAUGAUAACAAAUAUGUAGGGAUUGCUCUUAAAAAUGUCUCGCCAAUUAGAAGUUAAUUAGAACCCAAUAUUUAAUUUGCUGAUACAUGAUUGGAUAUAAUCGGUAGAGAUUCAAGAAUUCUAGUUUGUGGAGUAACUUACACAUUAAAUUUGUAAUAUUUAAAAUAUUAAAAUGAAUUUAAUUGUAAUGUACGAUCAAUGUAAAUAUUUUCACACAGACAACUAAUGAUGAAUCAUUAAAUUCGAAAAUAAACUUUGAAUUUAAUUAAAACUUGUAGUUUUGACCCGUGCGAUGCACGGGGGAUAUUCACUUUUAUUUAUUUUGUGUUUUUAUUAUUUUUGCUUUAUUUUCAAGAUAUUUUUGUAUUAAUAUAUUAUUUUGUAUAAGAAUUUUUUAAGGUUUUUUUAUAAAUGUGUUUUUUUUUGUUUGGUCGUGGCGUUGUGAUGGAUUUAGUGUGUCUUUGGUGUCUUGUCUCCCAUAAGACGACACACCACAUUCUUUUAACUUGUCUUGUUUUACAACCCUUGUUGUUUGCACGUUACCUUGGCAAUAUAGCGGGUUGUAUUACCUAUAUGCAGGAUUUUAUGUUAUUUGUUUUUACCUUGGUUGAUGUUACUCUAUUCAAGAGGAUUGAAAUACAUGUUCCGUCACCAGCCUGUCACUUCGUUAGGUUUUUCGUUGUGACGUGCUGUUGCAUCGCAUCCAUCUUUGGUGACAACAAAUACCCAUAUGCGCCCAACCUCUAGGGAGCUUCCUCCGGCCUGGGCUCGACCUUUUCCAAAUGUAGUGAAGGUCGAUUUUGAUGCUUUUGUUUCAUCAUUUAUUUCAGCUAGUUUUGACUUUUUGUUUUGAAUUUUUUUUUUUUAAUUAUGAUACAAUAUUUUCAUGAAGUUGAAACUUCCUGUUGUUAUUGGCAGUCCACAACAACAACUUCUCCUCCAAAAGGUUGGUUGAAACUGAAAUUAUUAGUAAAUAUUUUAAUAUCUUCGAGUGUUCAGUCUGCAACUUCAAAAUAAUGCUUGCGAAUAUUGAGUUCUUCGUCCUUUGAUCUUAUAGUUGUUGUUUAUGCUCUCCAAAUGAAAGUUUUCUCCGUUCCUCCAUAACCAUAGAAAAAAAACAUCACCCAUUUAUCUUAAUUAACUGUUGACAUUAUCAUCUCAUAAACACUUUUUUAUUCCGGUGUCAUGUUAGAUAGAAGAUGUACAUACUAUGUUGUUAGAUCUUGUCUAUCAUAAUAUAAUUCAUCCAUAAUAAGCUUAUUUUGAGAAGUUGGUAUUGAGGACCUAUCAAUUUAAGUCAUUUGGGGGAAGCCGACUAAUGACCUGAUGUUGCUUUGAAUAAAGUGAUUAUAUUUGCAAAUGCGAAAAAAAUUUAUUUGCUCCUUAGUAAGUUUUAAAUCUACAACAAUAUAAGAAGUAGUGUAAGAAAACUAUUGCAUUAUCAUUUUUAUUUUGAACAGUGGUGUUUUUAUUUUUUGAUAGACAAAUGUUAGUUGUUAGUAAUGUUAGUAAAUUAGUCACUCCUCAGUAUUCGAACCCUGAAACCUUCAUCCUUCAUUUUACCCAACCCUUAUGUCACAUAACUCUUACCACUUGAGCUAACCCUGUGGAACAGUGGUGUUUUAUAUAGUCUUUGUUUUAAAUGCGCUCACCUCUACGUUAUAUAAGAAGUUUUUGUCUUGCAAACUAAAGCAUCAUUCUAAGAACCUUUUUUUUAAUUUUAAAAUGACAUUGUUUAUUUUUUAUGAGAGAUCAUUUUUUUUAGUUUACACUCAUAAAAAUUUGAUUUUUUUAUUUGGUCUAUGAUUACUAAAUGUUAUGAAUAUCGUUUUAGAUAUUAAAUAUAUGUAAAUAUUACACAUGUUAUAUGGAGUUAUGAAAGUGAAAAGUUUUUUGCCUCAUGAAUUUAAUUCUUUAUUUUUUGUGAUGAUUAGACAUUUUAAAGGGAUAUUUAAACUCAAGAUUGUUAUAUCAACCUUAAUUAUUCAUUCAAUUACACAAUCAAAAUAUAAAUAGAUUAAUGGUAUUUAAAUUAUUUCUUUCCGUUUCAAUUUAAUUAAAUUUCUAAUUAUUGUGUUUUUAAUGACAAUAAAUUACAUUAGCUUUAUGAGUAAAUGAUAUUUAAAUCAUUUAUUUCAAUCUAAUUGAAUUUUAAAUCAAUAAAACUGUAAUUUUAGAUACUUAAAAUUAAAAUUAAAGGCAAUUUUUCUUUUAAAAUAUAACGUUUGUAUUUAUUUCAAUUUGAACAUAUACUUUGGUAUGAUACAUAUCUCAUAUCUACAUCUCUGACAUUUCUUCCUUAAAUAUUUUAAAAUUAUUUUUAAUCAAGUUUCAUAUAUUAUCCUUAUAAUUUAAAAAAAUUCCAACAUUUUCGCAUAUCUCAUUUAUAUUAUUUAUUCCAUCCUACCACUACAAUAAAAAAAUGAGUGUCAUAUAUUAAGAUUAACUAUGACAUCAAUUAUUAUAAUUAUUAAUAUAGAAUGGAACUUGAAAAGUUUGUAUUCUAUAUACUAUAAAUUUAUUGAAUGCACUUCAAUUUUAUAACUUGUGCCCCUUUACAAUCCACUUGCAAGCUUCACCUAAAUUCCAUGUAAAUGACAUUGUUUCAGGUUCUAUUACUCAUAUAAAUUUUUCAAUUUAUGAUUAGAUUUAAAAAUAUUAUUUAUAUUUAUAUGUCUUGGUCUGUUAUUUAUUUUUUGCAAUAGUAACAUAGAACAAUUUAUUUAUUUAUUUUAUCUAUUUGAAACAAAAUAUGUGUUUUAAUAUAUUUUCCUUAAAAUUGGAACAACAUAGAGUUCACUCUAUUUAACUCAUGAGCAGUCAAUCAAUCUAAUGUAGUGGUGCAAUGCACAUGGUCGUUGGACUCUCGACAAAAUAAAUCGGAAAAGCAAAAAAACACUGUACACUUUUAAUAACCAAAUGUAGAUAAAAAAAAACAUUAACCGCUAAAUUAUUUCCUUAAAUUAAAUAAAAAUAUUAAACAAUUUAAGUUUCUUUGUUCGAAGAGAAAAAUGUAUAGUAAAAAAUAGCGGCCCCCAAAACAUAUAUAAUUUAGUCCCUUAAUGUAUCAACUGUAUAUCAUAAUAAAUUUUAAACUUCUUUAAGAUAAAAUAUCUAAUUCUUUUAUGCAAAGACGUUCAAAGACAAAACUAAACUUCAAUUUACAAAGAACACCCUAAACAAAUUCACAUAUGCUUCAUUACUUAAGGACAUGGAUAACCCAUUAGUUUCAAUCAACUUCUCUAUAAUAUUCUUCAAAUCAUUGUGUUUCAAUUUUAGAGUUAAAUUUCUAUUAUGUUUAAAAAUACAUUUUAAUGUGUACAACUUUUACUAUUAUAAUUACUAAUAAUAUAAAUAAAAAGAAACAAUAUACCGAUGAACUUGAAGAUUCUUCUAUCAGAUUUAAAUAAAAUUUAUAGAUUUAACAUUUGUUUUGAGUAAUUCAAAUUGAUGCACUUGUUGCUUUAACAUUUCUCUGCAUCACUACCCCUCCAACUUUGUUUCAUUGUCUACCAUACUUUUAUGGUUUUCAUAACAUGCUUUGCACUAUAUAGACUUUAUGAGCCACCAUAGUUUUCAAUCUUCUUCCACGGACUUACAAAACCUUGAUGAACAAUGUUGGGGUCUUCAACCGUCGUCUAUUUCAUUCUUCUUUAAUCCACACUUCUAAAGAUAUAUGUGUCUUUGUUGUAGUUGCAUAUCUAUCAUUCUUUUUCGCUACCAAUAGAACAAAUCACUUGAAAUACUUAACUCAAAUUCUUGCCCAUAUUAGAACAAUAUAUGGAUGAGAGAAAAUGAGAUGAAUUUCUUAAGGAUAAAAAAAGUAUAAGAAGAGUGAAGGAAUAGAUACCACAUCAUGUAAAGAUAAUAAUCAUGAAUUUGAAGCUUGGUCAUCCUCAGCAAUCGUAUCGUAACUGUUGCAGCAACUACCCUUCAUAGCGUGCAUUUUCCUAAGCAAUUCAGUUUAUCUUCCAAGUUGUUCAACUAUGGAAGCAAGAGUUCCUUCAUCUUGAUUAUUUAAACCAAAUUCCAAACACAAAUUUUUAUUUUUGUGUUUCAAAGCCACGUCAAAAAAUGAUGCAAGUUGAGUCUUCACCCAAUAAAAUAACAAUUUAUAAAUUCAAGCAUGGAAGUUUAAAGGAAAGAAAUACAAAUUUAUUAGAUAACUUUCAAAUCAUGAUUUAUUUACACAUGUGUCUUACUUUACGUGUUCCCUCAUAUCAAUCUAAUUUAUCCUCUUCUCCACUAGCACAGUUUGAACCUGAAAUUAACAAAAACCAAAUUAUGAUAUUCUAAAUUAGAAGCUCAAACGUUAAUAGACACACUCACUUUUUAAAAAAGUGGCAAAAGACAAAGAAAUAAUAUAAUAGAAGGAAAAAGCAAAAAGUACAGUGAAAAAUCAUUCACCAUUUGGGAGUUUGAUCAAGCUUGAAGUGUCUGUGACCGAAUCUACUAUAAACCAUAUAAAAAGCAAAGAUAAAGGUAAGAAAAAUGGCAAAAAAAACUAUGGAGCAAAGGGGUAUUUAUACUUGUAGUUUAAGCUUUGAAGAAGAUGGAAGGUUUAAAAAAACUGAAGAAUAUUGAAGGUUUCUUCAAAGGUUUUUAGGACCUCAUAUGAAUGAAUGUAUUGAUUUUUACAAUUAAGUUUAGUGAAUGCAUUUGGGAAUGCAAAAAGACAAUGAGAUUGCAAUGAAACGGACGGCUAAGAUUCAAUCUAAGUGAAAUAAAAUACAUUUUUACUAAAAUAUUCAUGGUCAAGCUUCAUAGUUUUUGGAAUUAAUUGUUGAAUGACAGGUUUGCCCCCAAGGUUUCACAAACUCCCCCUUUAUAUAGUUUAUAGAUAAUCAGAAACAUAAAUGUUUUUAAUUACGUGACAUUCAUUUGUGACAUUCAUUUAUUGAAUGUCUGUGUAAAAAUAUUUUACACUGAUCAUACACAAUCGUUAAAAAACUCUAUAAAAAUAAUAUAAAAAAAAUUAAAUAUGCAAUCAUAAAAUUGAAUGGAAUUUUCAAACAGCGGCCGAAUUUACUCAAUGCAGGAAAAUACUCUGGCAAAUUUCUUUCUAAACUUAACCAAGAGCACAAGAAACUUGGAAAUCUUGUUUCAAUGCCAAAUGACUCAAAACCCCAAAGAAAAACAUAGGAAAACACUCUUAUCUAUAGAUAUUUGCUUCAAAGAUUUUAGAUGAUGAACACAUACACACAUAAUGCCGGCUAGGAGCAUGUAUUAUUCAAAAAAAAAAACAAUAAGAUGGGUAGUUGAAGCUGUAUACUAGCAAUCCAUACGCACCUAAUUAGUCAAACCAUGCGCAUGCGUGCUUGGAGUUGGAGUUCUACAUCAAAUAAUAUGUUCAAAUGUGAUUCUAUAUUAUUCGUUUCUUGGCAACAAGGCAAAGAUCAAUUUUCUUGUGCAUCACUAAUCCAGGUUUCUCUUGGGUGCCCAACAUUUCUUCCUUGUCAAUUCCAGGUGGGAGUUCCCAAUCAAAUGAGUGGAGAAGAUUUACUAGUGAAAGCUCAACCGCGGCUACUCCCAUGUUCAUCGCAGGACACAUUCUCCUUCCGGCUCCAAAUGGAAUCAGCUCAAAAUCUCCCCCCUUGUAGUCUAUCGUACUCCCAAUGAACCUUUCAGGGUAAAAUUCUUCAGGGUCUUCCCAUCUUUCAGGGUCCCUUGCUAUAGCCCACGCAUUAACAUGCACUAGAGUUCUUGGUGGAAUCUCAUAUCCAUCUAUGUUGCACCUUUCCCUUGUUUCCCUUGGCAGAAGUAAUGGCAGAGGUGGGAAUAAUCUGGUUGUCUCCUUCACCACUGCUUUGAAGUAAGGAAGUCUUUCAAUAUCAUUUUCACUUACAAAACUUUUGUCCCCAAAUAAGUCUCCAAUUUCCCCUUGCACCUUGUUCAUCACUCUAGGAUUCUUCAAGAGUGCCAUCAUGGCCCAAACUACUAUAGCUGAACUAGUGUCUGUUCCUGCAAUAAAGAUGUUCUGUAUACAUGUGCAAUCAAAUAAUUAACAACAUUUUUUUAAGUAAUCAUGUUAUGUAAAUGAACAUAAUACAUUUGUGUAACCAAAAUUUAAGGCGAAACAUGUUUUGCAGCAAUUUCUAACAACCAUAAAUUGCAAUUUGUAAAAAAAAAAAACAACUCUGCAAAUUAUGACGAUGAGAAACCACAAUAAUGAGUAGGUGUGGUGGGUGUCAUUUGUUAGAAUAUAAUAUAAAAUUAUUUAUUUAAUUUUUACCCAACAAAUUUAAUUUUUUGGAUAAUUAACUAGUAUGUUACCCGUGCAUUGCACGGGUUGCGGUCGGUUGACCGCGAUUGAUUUUAUUUAACAUUUUUUUUAAUUAUUAAACAUAAAUUAAUAUUUUUGUGAUAAACAAUUACAAUAUAUAUUUGUGUUUAUAAAGUACAUAUAAUAUUCGAGAUUAUUUUAGCACAUAGUUUUUUUUUUAAAUGUUUGAUUAUUUUUAUGAUAAAUUUAUAAUGUGCCAAUAUUUUUUAAGUUUCUUUUUAUAACUAAUCUCUAUAUAAUAUAAAAAUUUAUCAUGAUAGAAAUAGAGAAAAUUCUUUUUGGUACCAUAGAUAUUUUCUCGUUAAUUAGUGAAAUUAUUUAUUUAAAUAUUGAAAAAAUAAUUUAUACUUAAAGUUAAUGUAAAAAGUAAGAAUUUUUAAAAAUUAUUAUUUUUGUUAGCAUAGAUAUUUUCCCCGUUUAUUAAUGAAAUUAUUUAUUUACACAUUGAAAAACUAAUUUCAUACUAUAAGUUAAUUUAACUAACCCUAACUAAAUGACGACAUAUAUAACUAAUCUAUAUAUAAUAUAAAAAAAUUAAAAUUUAUUAUUUUAGUCAGCAUAGAUAUUUUCCCCAUGGAUUAAUGAAAAUAUUUAUUUAAACAUUGAAAAAAUAAUUUUAUAAUAAAAUUUGAUAUAAGUUAACUCUGUAUAAAUGAAGAUAUAACUAAUCUCUUUUUUUUUGACAACAAAAGAUGAAUAUUAUUAAUAUCAAAUGCAAACAUGAGAACAACCCUCUCAUGGCUAAAUCAUUUGAGAUAUAACUAAUCUCUAUAUAAUAUAAAAAUUCUUCAUGUAAAUUUUUUAUAAAAAUAUUAUUUUGGUUAGUAUAGGUAUUUUCCCAUUGAUUAAAGAAAUUAUUAAUUUAAACAUUAAGAAGAUAAUUUAUACUAUAAGGUCAUUUAAUUAACUCUAAAUAAACGAUGUUAUAACUAAUCUAUAUAGAAUAUAAAAUUUCAUAAUGUAUGGAUUUUUAAAAAAAUUAUGAUUUUAUUUAGCAUAAAUAUUUUUCCCGUUGUUUCCCGUUGAUUAAUGAAAUUAUUAUUUAAAUAUUGAAAAAUAAUAUUAUACCAAAAUUUAAUGUAAAUUAACUAUGUAUAAAUGAAGAUAUAAUUAAUAUUUAAAUAAUAUGAAAUUCCUCAUGUAAGAAAUUUAUAAAAAUAUUAUUUUAUUUACCAUAGAUAUUUUUCCCGUUGAUUUAUGAAUUUAUUUAUUGAAAAAUAAAAAAUAAAACUAACUUUAUACUAAAUUUUAAUAUAAAUUCUGUAUAAAUAAAAAUAUAACUAAUCUCUAUAUAAUAUAAAAAUUAAUUAUGUAGAAUUUAAUAUUAUUAUUUUAGUUACGAUAUUUUUCCCGUUGAUUUAUAAAACUCUUUUUAAUCAUUGAAAAAAUAAGUUUGUAGUAAAAUUUAAUAUAUAAAUUAAUAAAAAUAUAUUAUCAAAAAAAAUUAAUAAAGAUACAAUUAAUCUCUAUUUAGUAUAAAAUUCAUUAUAUAGGAAUUUUAAAAAAAUAAUUUCAGUUACCAUAUUUAUUUUCUUGUUGAUUUAUGAAAUUAUUUAUGCCCGUUGAUUAAAAAAAAUUAUUAUUUUCAGUUAGCAUGUACAUCAAUAAGCUCUUCAGUGUUUACAAUUCUCAUAAAUCAUCCCAUUACCGUCCAAUUCAGUCAAACGAUUUAACAAACCAUUUUGAACCACAAAAUACAUAACUCAAACAACAUAUUUAAACCAAACAACAAAAUUAAACAGUUUUAGAUGCUUAAAGAAAGAAGGUUGUAGCCUUGCCUAUAACAGGUCUUGCCUAACGAAAGCAAAGUGACAGAAAAGCUGCUUUAAUAGGUUGUUCCCGUUGAUUAACGUGAAGCUUUGUAUGACUUUUAGUGAAGACAUCUAAGGAUUUUAAAGCACAUAAAAGUGCAUUGGACACAUUAGCCCUCCAAAAAGCGAUUAUGCAAAGCAUAUUGGCUAGUUUCUUGCUUUCAGAAGAUGUAAAACUCAGAUCAUAACAUUAAAUUUCCAAAAAGUAGAAAAUUUAAGCUUUGAGAAUUCUUUAAAAGCCUUGUUGUCAAUUAACAGCUACUUAAAGUUAUAAAUUUCAAUUGCAAACCUAACAUACUAAAAAUCAAACAAAACCAUACAUGAAAGUACAUUGGACACAUUAGCCCUCCCUGGAUGAAGGACAUCAACGACCUACAGCACACACUUAAAACAUAUACAGAAAAGAUUACUAAUCUUAUCAGCAUCUAGAGCCAAAGUAGCCUACACUUCUUAAUUUUCUUACUAAUCUAAACAACAUCUAAAGCCACCUCUAGUUGUUCCAACAUUGUCACAUAUCACCCGAAUGCCCCAGCAGCUUAGAAACCAGAUGCAAGUUAGUCUGCAAGAAUAAGUUUACUAUUUAGUAUUUAGCUAUAGUUUCCAUGAAAUAUUAAGCAAUGGUUGUUACAAUCUCCAACCACCAGGAUUGUGAGGAGAAAAAGACGCAUAUAAGAAAGAAGAGCAACAUUAGAUGACAGAUAUUUAAAUAAAUGUUAUAAGUUAUAACAACCACAAACAAAAAGUAAAGAAGUACGGAAAAUAGCAUUUUUCUAUCUGUCAAGAAGAAUGAUCUUACCCGAGCUAUUCUAUCUGUCAAGGGAUUAAUGCAAACUGAUUUAGAAAUAUCUCUGACUGGAAUUGAUAACUAAACUAGAUUUUCUCCACAUCAUAGAUAUCAUGCAGCUGAUCUCAAUCCUUGACUGAUGUCCGUAGUUCUGUGUGCAUGCUUGUAGUACAGCUCAACGGUGAAGGAACCCAUGGAAGUUUCCAGCGUAACCUCCGGCGACAUGAUAAAAGACUAUGUUUGAAUGAUACAGUCACUACUUGGAGCCACAUCAGUAAAUGUAGAAUCUGCACCAAAAAGAUAGGACAUCUUGAAAUUAGAAGGUUGAAUGAUGGGUUUAAGAUAAUUAAGUGAGCGAAAAAAAUACAAUAACACCAAAUGAGCCUUUAGAAGAAUAANNNNNNNNNNNNNNNNNNNNNNNNNNNNNNNNNNNNNNNNNNNNNNNNNNNNNNNNNNNNNNNNNNNNNNNNNNNNNNNNNNNNNNNNNNNNNNNNNNNNCUUUAAAAGCCUUGUUGUCAAUUAACAGCUACUUAAAGUUUUUUUUUUCAAUUGCAAACCUAACAUACUAAAAAUCAAACAAAACCAUACAUGAAAGUACAUUGGACACAUUAGCCCUCCCUGGAUGAAGGACAACAACGACCUACAGCACACACUUAAAACAUAUACAGAAAAGAUUACUAAUCUUAUCAGCAUCUAGAGCCACCUCUAGUUGUUCCAACAUUGUCACAUAUCACCCGAAGGCCUCAGCAGCUUAGAAACCAGAUGCAAGUUAGUCUGCAAGAAUAAGCUUACUAUUUAGUAUUUAGCUAUAGUUUCCAUGAAAUAUUAAGCAAUGGUUGUUAAAAUCUCCAACCACCAGGAUUGUGAGGAGAAAAAGACGCAGAUAGGAAAGAAGAGCAACAUUAGAUGACAGCUAUUUAAAUAAAUGUUGGAUAGAGUGAGAAAUUCAUUGUUAAUUGCAAUGCAUUAUUCAUGAACUAAACAGAUUCCUCUUCUUAAUCUUCUCAUUCAGCAAUGCUUCUACAUGCUAUUUGGUGAGAAUGUCAGAGAACCAAACAAAGAGUUCUACGAAUAGAAUGACAAUAGAGAAAAAAAAAACACUAUAUUUGACUUGAAUCUAAUAUUUGACUAUUGACAUAUAUCUAAAUGAUUGAAACUAUUUUUCUUGUCCUCAAAGUUACAAAUUACGCGUUGAAGUUGCAAGCAUCUCGCAUUAUAUGUAGAAAGAAAGGGUUAUCCGUCUUGGUUCUUAAUGGAUUAAUAUCAUCAUGUUCUUUAAAAUAAUUUAGUUGUGGAUGGACUUUUACUUUAGAAUUGAAAUGAGCCUUAUUAAAUGCUCAAGGAGAAAGUCGAAUCAGUACCAAGGAACUCUUUAAUUUUAGACCCAUAAAUAAAAAACAACAUUAACAACAUCCCCAGCAGCAAGGAAUGUAUUCAACUGAUAGUAAAAAGUAGGAAAUACAGAACAAUUAUAAAUCAAGAACAAAGUAGAAGGGAUAUUAUUCAAUGGGGAAUGAAGGAAGCCAACAGAUUAUGCACAAUGGAAACCAAUUGCAAUAUAUAUACUAUCUAAUUCACCAUAAGGAAGAUAUGAUCAUUGGAAAAUAGCUAACAAUCAUAGCUAACCUGUAUCAGAAUGGUUAUUUGAAGCAGCUCCACUCGGAGAUCUUAUCAUAGUUCGCAUCCAAUUUGUUUUGGACUCUAUUCUUCUUCUUGCUGAUCAUCUGUAGAUAUCAAAGAUAAAUGUCAGUCAAUAUCUAAAGAAGCAGCCCAAUUUGGUUUUUCAAGAACUUAUAGUUCUGAAAAGCUAAAGUAUGCUGGUAGUUUCCAACUUCAACUAAAAAUCAACAAUAGAUCAGAUUAGUAUAAUAGUAUGGGUAGAAUGAAAUAUUGAGAUUUCAAUAGAGUAUAAAGACGAGUUUUUUCUAAAAAGCAGAUUAGCAAUAAAAAAAGUACACAAAAUACAUAGUAUAGAGAGGCUUACUAUGGUGGUAUAAACACAAACAAAACAACACACGAUAGUAAACUUAACAUUGGAUCUUAGAGGAUAAUAAAUCAUGAAGAAUAAUCAAAAUUUAUACCAUGAUUUAAACUUAAUAUUCACAAUUACAGCACAUGAUAGUAAUAUGUCAUCAUUGCAAUUAUUAGCAUGAGUAGUUGAACUGUACAUUAUUAGCAUGAGUAGUAGAAACAAUACAAUUGAAAGGGGGGAAAAGCUUUAGCAGCAAAAACAUGUUAAAGAGCAAAUGCAGCUUCUAUCUUGAGAAUGAACUAACCUUAGAGUUGAGGGAUUCUGUUUGUAAAACCACGGGUGAUCAUAUUUCGUCCCGUCAACCCAGAGAUUCAGUUCUGUUGCACAAAAUAGAGAAAAGAAGAAUCAGACAAAAAGAAACCAAAAGAAAGAUAUAAUUAUAAAGAUGAAGUCCAAUCAAUACUAAUAUCUAAUUUUCUCAAUUUCAACAAUACUAAAAUCUAAUGAAAUUUGUUGAAACUGUGUAGCAAUUUGCCAGCCUCCAACAGAAAAAUUGUUUGAAAUAUAUGCUUUAAUCAUUAUAGAAGAUUAGAACAAAAUCCCAUACAUAAGAAGAUGAAAACCAAGGAUUGUAAUGGAAAAUCAAGAAAAAAUUAAGCUCAAAACAUUAUAUCUACGCAUAUUAGGCUUUUGAAGACUAAUUUUUGCAGAAAUAAAAGAAGAUAAUAACUAAAAUUAGAAAGGGACCUUGGUUAUCAGUGAGAUUCCCAUCUCUAACCUGCAACGUAUUUAGGAACACCGAACACCAAUGAGAUUCCCAAUUCAAAUCACAAUGUAAAGGAUAUAAACUAAAAGAGCAAGGAAGAAAAUUCAAAAUUGCAAUUAGAAUUAUCUAACAAAAAAUUCGAAUAAGAUGAAAAUGGUUUAACCUUGCAUCAGAUCCAGACAGUGAGAUUUCACGGGUUUGGGUGGCAGACUUAGGGGCAGUGAGGCAGAAAUCUUAAGUGAGGGUUUCAAACAACAGCAGAUCCUCUUACCCUGACCGCGCUGCAAGGAAGGAAAAUAUUUGUGGAUUGCGACAAACAAAAAAGGUUAUGAGGGGAGCUCCAACUCUUCGGAUAGCAAAGAAGACCUUUUCUAAUAGAUUUUGUCACAAAACAAAUGGCAAAGAAGACCUUUCCAGGUAGAGUUCAAUUCAAAGUUGUAGAGAAGAAGAUUCAGAUGAGAGAUGCUUGUAGAAGACCAACUUAGAAGAACAACAUAUGGAUUUUUUUGGUUCUUCUAGAGAUAAAAUCCGGAUUUGGAAAGAGAUAAGAUUUAUUCAAUUUUUUAUUAUUUCUCUUUCUAACAUGUCUGACCUUAGCAGAACUUUUUCAAAACAAAUUUUUGAAUUAGGGAGGGAAAUUCAAAGAAACAUAGCAGAACUAAAAAUGAAGGAGAAAACUUAAAUAAUCUAAAAAUUUGAGAGAAGGACACGUAACCCAGUUAGGGGUUUCUUUUCUUAGAGUAUAUUGAUUGUUUGAUUGUACAAAGUAUUUAUGACUUAGCGAUCUAGAGUUCGAUCCUUGCUCCCCUCACUUUCUAAUUAAAAAUGUGGAAUUUAAGCACAUGAUAGGUGAACUUGUGCAUUUAUCUACGUUUCAAAUCCAAAGCACUACAAGAAAAGUGGCCUUUACCGACAAAUUUGUAGCGGCAAUAAGCAUAUUGUCAGUGAUUUAUUUGAGAAUUUUUAAAAUCCGUUAUAACUAAAGAUUGGUUGGUAUUAAUUUCAUUAUACUGGCAAUUAGUGAUAAUGAUAAUUGCCCACUAAAAGAGCACGAGCACGAGCACGAGCACUUCGCAUGCGUUUACCCCUUCAUUCCCUUUUUUACCCUUUUCGAAUGUUUCUCUGUUUUCUUUUCGUUUCUCUCGCCGCAAGAGAAGAGAACGAUGAAGACGAACGAACCAGAGGCGGUGGGCGAUAAACGACGACGAAUGUCUAUCGAGGGUUUCUUGAGAAACUUGUGUUAUACCUUGUUGUACCUGCAUCAAAAUCAGGUCGUUCAUCAGUAUUUUGGAUCUGCAGGGAAGGAUCUCGCUGAUUUCACCUUUGCUUUUUUCUAUCUAGGUUUCGUGAUUUCUAGCUGUUCUUCACAUGCUUUUCAAUUUGUUCUUAUAGUUGUAUUGGAGAUUUCAAUUGUUGUUCAAAUAUCAAUAAAUUUCGGAAUUUCUCCCUGCCUCAGUUCGCUCAGAAAGCAAAUUCAUGUAUGAAGAAAGUUGAGGUAUGAUUUUUAAUCCUAGGAUUUUUAUCUUCACGUAAGUGUUGUCAAAUCAGUUUUUUCUUUUUGGCUUUUGAGGCUGUAGAACACAAAUAGCUUAAUGUGUGGAUUUUUCCAAAAUAACUCAAUGUGUGAUAAUUAAUCAUUGCAAUUUUCCUAAAGUCAUUCAAUCAUGUCUACACAUCUUUGUAGGAAAUUUAUACUCAGAUGCAUUGCUUCCGCUGGAUUUUGAUUCAAUUUAAACGGUUAGAUUCCUUGAAUUGCUAUAUUUGUCAUUGUGGGGUGAUUCUCUUUGUAUUGGUUGCAGGUUACUUGCAUAAUCUUCUACUUUAUCACCUUGUUUGCCUCAUUGGGUGUUCAUGCAUGCACCUGUUUCUCGUAAUUUUGAUUUGUAGCCAUUUGGAAAUAUUCCUAUAAUUCAAGGGUGGAGAAAGAUC
rnacentral:lncRNA from 1 species